AGAAAAAAAGAAGUGUUAGAACUAUGGCUGUUGUGAAAAUUUGCGCUAAAAGAAAAUUGUUUUAGAUAUCACACCUUCUGUCCAUUAUGGCGCUUCACACAGUGUACACCAUAGAACCUCGUGAUUAAUGAGUUCUUGUAUCGAUCGACAUGUUUGCAGUAGCUAUUUAACAUCUUAAGUAGCAGCUACAGCAACGAAAUAGCAGGAAAUUAGCCCCUCCGCAAAAGCAGGAGAAACAGGUUUCUUCUUGGCAACUAAUUGUACUUGGUACUUUAGUAGCACUUUUUUAACAUGUGUAGAACGACACAUAACUAGGCAUGGCAACAUGGAGCUCGACAAGAAAAAAAACCAUCUCCUCAAUCUAAUACCAAUUCCACAAUCCAAUUUUAAUAGAGAAAAUGAAAUUAAGUAACUAGCUACAAUUCUAAGUACUUCAAAGUAUGUAUACAAUUUCGUGCAGAUAAUUAGCAUGUUCACAUCAAUGGAAAACAGAAACGCUACCUUGACUUCUGAUUUCUUCACUGUCUUAAUCAUGAAUUGGUCGUCUUGGGUAAGGUAAAAGAAGCUCCCGCUUUUCCCAGGCGAAGACAGCUCCCUCAGAGGAUCAUUGCCACAGAUCGAAAGCAUGUAAUCCCCUGUAUCCACAGCAAACAACUUCCUCAAAUGCCUGCAAUGCAGAAUACGACACCAGAGUUAAUUAAUAGAGAAGAUGUGCAGACGGCAGCACACACAGAUGAAAUGGUAGAUCAGGAGUCGAAGACAAAAAACCUGAACACCAUGGGGCAGUAGUCCUUCCAGCAGAAGUACCCAGUUGAAUGCGGCAGUGUGGCCUUCGAACCCUCUGGUGGGAACUCUGUCCAGGACAAAGCAUUUUCCCUUGGAUCAAAAUCUCCCUGUUCCAGUUCUCGCAUCGGCACAGCCGAAGACUUCCCCACGGAAUGCCUGCAGGAUGCAGAACCAUAAUAAAACCUCCAUUUGCACAUCCUCUCCAAAAACCAGACCACAUUGUGAGAACACGGAGCUACCAAAACCUCACAUGAUGCCUAAUUGCAGCUGCAGCAUAAGCUCGUAAUUCUUGUGUCGCUUGGAUAUGGUCCGCCCGGGUCGUUUACUCUGCGGCGUGGUUGCCACCGCCGACGCCCAGCGUGGGACUCCGCUGGCUGAUCGCAUGUAAGUUGCUCCACCCGCGAUAGCCGCGGCUUCCUUGAAGAGCAUAGGCAUAGACGCCUCGAGCGCGUCGACGAUGUCGCAGGUAAUGUCUCCAGCCUCGCCCUCCGACUCCCAUAUGCAGAUCCGCGGGGUCGCCUUGUCCCCCACGCCCUCCACAGAAGACCUCCUACUCACAGCAACAGCACCAGGAGGCGCGAAGAAAGUGGCGCUCAUGGCCGGCAGGUCUACCGAGCUCCCAGGCCAGGAGCCGCCGGUGGGCCACGUGAAGACCCCUGACCCUUUGGGCACGCCGUUCUCCCAGACGCCGUCGUAGCGGCUGCCAUUGGCACAGAUAAGCGCGCCGCGGCCGGAGAGCACCCCGGCGCGCCACUCCCCGAUGUACUGGUUGCCGUUGGCCCAGACGUACCGGCCGUGGCCGUCCUGGAGGUUGCGGCGCCACUGGCCCUCGUAGCAGUCCCCGUUGGCGUAGGUCUUGUUGCCCAGGCCGUGGCGACGGUCCGCCACCCACGCGCCGCGGUAGGUGGCGCCGUCUGGGCCGACGAACACGCCCUGCCCGUCGAUGCGGCCCCUGCGGAACUGCCCCUCGAACGUGGCGCCCGACGGCCACGAGAAGCGGCCCUUCCCGGACGCCUUGCCCCGCCGCCAGUUCCCCUCGUACAUGCAGCCGUCGGCCCACACGUACCUGCCCUUCCCGUGCGGCGAGCCGCCGCGGUAGACGUCCCCGUUGAGCAGCGUCUUCUCCACCACCGCCGUCUCCUCGCCGCCAGCAGCGCUGCUGGCGGCGGUCAUCGCCGGUGCCACCCGCCUCAUCCCCCACGCGCACUCUCGCACUCAAGCCCGCGGCGUUGCAGUUGCAGACCGGAAGCUGCUAGGACUUGCGAUUUGGUGGGACUCGGGAUUUAUGUUGCACUACCUCCUCUCCCUCUUCUCCCGAGCUUUGAUCUGGGCUAGAGCGGUGCCAGUACUGGGCUACUACUACCAGUGCAGUGGCCACUAGUGUGCCAGGUGAAGUGGGUGGAGGAGGGAAGAGGAUUAUACAAUGGAAGAGGAGCGAGAGGCCGAGGCCCGAGGGGGGUGGCUUUUACCUAGCUGUCCCAACAACAUCUCGCUAAGAUCAGCGCGGCUCCUCUGGCGUGCAACGAGCGGCUCGCCACGCGGAGUCGCGGAUCUCCUGCGGCCAGUUCACAUUUGGUGGUGGGGCCACGGGGGCACGAGUCACGAGUGGACCCGUCGUCGUCCGCGACGGUUUGGGGCAAAACCGGAUUUUAUGGUUGGGUUUCUUUAUUUGGAUAUAUGCAUGGGCGUUUUAUUUUUUUGGAGGGGAGGGGAUGGUCAUCGUCUCAUCGAGACAUGGACUGGUUGGGUUUGAGUCGAGACUGCGGAACAGUUCGAGACAGGCCACAACUCAUUACCCCACCACGCUGCCGCCAGGGGCACUCUCCGCCCCUGUCAGAAAACGAAGGGACUCAAGCAAAUGAUGCGUAUCCUUUUCAUUCAAUGAUGGUGUGUAUUUAUACAUAGUGAAAUGACAGAAAACUUGUCCAUUCGCUAAGGACGGUUUCCUCGUCGUAGGAGAGAGGGAGAGGGGUGCCUGUUCGGGAACAUGAUUUACAUAAAGGAAUAUUAUUAACACUAAUCUUAUUAACUAAUGACCGUCGAUCUUGUUAAUCUCCACCUUUGAUAUUAAGUGUGUUUCCUCCUCCGGAUUGCUGACGUGGACGAAAUCAUUUUUUCCUUAAUACUCCCCCUUGAUUGAGUCCAUCAAAUGAAAAUCCUGCAUUUAAAAUUUCUACUAUACCUCAUAUCACCUUACAAAAACCCUGUGGGAAAAUUAAGAGUGAUAUGGUAUACGCUUGUAUUAAUAUUGUCUCAUUAAAAACUUUAUAUGAUAAAAACUCUUUGUGAGAGAAAAACCGCAUAAAGAAAAGAGUGCAAUAUGAUGUGAACUUGUUAUGUAUCGGUGAGAGUUACUCCCCCUGAAUUUUGCAGAUCUCUAAGUCUUCUCAUACCUAUACCUUCAACAUAUUUUGAAAAUGUGGAGUACGGUAGGGACUUAAUGAAUAAAUCUGCGAGAUUGUCGCAUGAUUUAGUCUGCAAUAUAUUUAUUUCUCCAUCCUUUUGUAAUUCAUGAGGGAAAAAUAAUUUUGGAGCUAUAUGCUUAGUGAUAUUGCUCUUAAUAUAACCAAUUUCCAUCUGAAUAACACAAGCUGCAUUAUCUUCAUAGAUAAUGGUAGGUGAUUCUAUAGAACCUAUACCACAAGAUUGUAGUAUAUGAUUAAUCAUUCUACGAAGUCAUACACAUUCUUUGGAAGCUUCAUAUAAAGCAAUUAUUUCAGAAUGAUUUGUGGAAGUGGCUACCAAAGUUUGUUUGGUUGAUUUCCAAGAGAUAGUUGUUCCACCAUAUAAAUAAACAAAGCCUGUUUGAGAUCUGACAUUAUGAGGAUCUGAAAGAUAGCCAGCAUCUGUAUAUCCAAUUAAAGUCGAGUCUUGGCCUCUUUCGUAGAAAAGACCAAAAUCUCUUGUACCAUUGAGAUAUCUAAGGAUAUGUUUUACUCCUGUCCAAUGACGUUUAGUAGGAGCAGCACUGUAUCUUGCAAGUAGAUUCACUGCAAAUGCAAUGUCCGGCCGGGUACUAUUUGCUAAAUACAUAAGCGCACCAAUUGCACUUAGAUAUGGGUAAUUUGAACCCAAAAUCUCUUCUUUCUCCUCUCUAGGUCGGAAUGGGUCUUUCUCCAUGUCAAGAGAUCUCACAACCAUAGGAGUUUUGGAGGGAUAUGAAUUAUCCAUAUUAAACUUCUCCAAUAUUUUUUGGACAUAGGCUUCUUGAUAUACGAAUAUGCCACAGGGCAAAUGCUCAAGUUGUAAACCUAAGCAAAAUUUGGUUUUACCCAAAUCUUUCAUUUCAAAUUCCGUCUUUAGAUGAUGACGUGCUUCAUUUAUAUCAAUAUCACUUCCAAUGAUGUUAAGAUCAUCAACAUAUACUGAUAUGAUGCAAAAACCUGAUGUGGAUUUCUUAAUGGAAACACAUAGACAACCAUCAUUAUUAGUGUAUCCCUUUUUGGAAAGGAAAAUACUUAAGCGUUUGUACCACACACGCCCUAAUUGUUUUAAGCCAUACAAUGACUUUUACAAUUUUACACAAUACAUGUUACGAUUUGCCUUUGGAUCCGGUACAUUUAUUCCAUUCGGAACCUUCAUGUAUAUAUUUGAAUCUAAUGACCCAUAUAUGUAUGCGGUCACGACGUCCAUCAACUGCAUAGAUAGAUGAUUUUGUACUGCUAGAGAUAUUAAAUAUCGGAAAGUGAUGCCACUCAUCACUGGGGAAUAGGUUUCUGUAUAAUCUAUUCUAGGUUUUUGCGAAAAACCUUGUGCUACUAGCCUUGCUUUGUAUCUCACCACUUCAUUUUUCUCAUUUCGUUUUCGAAUGAAGAACCAUUUGUAUCCAACAGGGAAGACACCACGAUGUGUUGACAUGACUUUCGAGAAUACUUUUCUUUUAUAAAGCGAGGCAAUUUCUGUUUGUAUUGCUUCUUUCCACUGAUUCCAGUCCGAGCGCUUUUUGCACUCAACCAUGGAUUUUGGAUCUGGAUCAUUUUUAAUAUCAGCAAUUUGUUCAGAAAAAUAUAUGUCGACAAUAGUAGACUUUCUAUCAUAUGAUUUUCCAGUUUCGAUGUAGUUUGUGGCAAGUUCAUUUAUUUUCAAAGAUUCAUCAAGAUUUCCCUUAUCAAUGAUCCUUGUGUUUUCCGAUGGCCCUUGUUCAUUACUAUGUGCACUUGAAGAGGGCUGUGGAUUUAUUCCACUUUUACUAAUUUUAGAUUGAUGUGCAUUUACUAUCUUUCUCUGUUUUUCAACAGAUUGAUUUUGCUUCGUAGCCAUGUCUCUCCCCCUCUUGCCUGUAUUAGGGGUUGAGGUGGUUUUCUUUGGUACCUCCACUCGGGCAGUAGCAUUUCUUGCAGGAAUUAAAGAUUUAAUAACUCCUUUAUAAUCAGUAAAUGCAUCUGGCAGUUGAUUUGCAAAAUUUUGCAAACCAAUUAUCUUUUAACUUGAAGUUCAGUUUCAUUUGUACGUGGAUCUGAGGAAGAGAUUCUAUUUGUAUCCCAAUUUAUUUCGCGGCAUUCUUUUUGGUACACUAAUUCUCCCCCCUAAUGUCGGGAAAUGUUCCUCAUUAAAUAUUGAAUCAGCAAACCGGGCUGUAAAUAGAUCCCCUGUUAGAGGUUCUAAGUAUUUAAUAAUCGGCGGAGAUUGAUAACCCACAUAAAUCCCUAUUUUUCUGUGGGGCCCCAUAGCUGUUUGCUGUGGUGGUGAGAUCGGUAUGUAUACUUGUCGGGGACCAUAAUUAGGGGUACCCUCAAGGCUCCUAAAUCUCAGUUGAUAACCCCCAUCAGCACGAAGCUGCAAAGGCCUGAUGGGUGCGAUUAAGUCAAGGAUCGGUCCAUUCAAGGGACGCGAUCACGCCUCGCCCGAGCCCAGCCUCGGGCAAGGGCAGCCGACCCCGGAGGAACUACGUCUCGCCUGAGGCCCCCCUCCAUCAAUGGACACACCUUCGGCUCGCCCGAGGCCCAGUCUUCACCAAGAAGCAACCUUUGCCAAAUCGCCACGCCAACCGACCAAAUCGCAGGGGCAUUUAAUGCAAAGGUGGCCUGACACCUUUAUCCUGAUGCACGCCCCCCAGUCGACAGAGCCGAAGUGAUCGCAGUCACUUCGCCGCUCCACUGACCGGUCUGACAAGAGGACAGCGCCGCCUGCGCCGCUCCGACUGCUGUGCCACUCGGCAGAGUGAGGCUGACAGCAGUCAAGUCCGGCCUCAGGUGCCAUAGGAAACUCCGCUUCGCCCGACCCCAGGACUUGGACUCGGGCUCAGCCCCGGAAGACGGCGAACUCCGCUUCGCCCGACCCCAGGGCUCGGACUCGGGCUCAGCCCCGGAAGACGCCGAACUCCGCUCCGCCCGACCCCAGGGCUCGGACUCGGGCUCAGCCCCGGAAGACGACGAACUCCGCUCCGCCCGACCCCAGGGCUCGGACUCGGGCUCAGCCCCGGAAGACGACAAACUCCGCCUCGCCCGACCCCAGGGCUCGGACUCAGGCUCGGCCCCGAAAGACGACGAACUCCGCUCCGCCCGACCCUAGGGCUCGGACUUGGGCUCAGCCCCGGAAGACGACGAACUCCGCCUCGCCCGACCCCAGGGCUCGGACUCGGGCUCAGCCCCGAAGGACGAAGAACUCCGCUUCGCCCGACCCCAGGGCUCGGACUCAGCCCUGGCAUCAGCCGACGGUCUCCGCCUCGUCCGACCCGGGGGCUCGGACUCGACCUCGACCUUGGAAGACAGACUCGACCUCGACCUCGGAGGAGCCUCCACCUCGCCCAACCUAGGGCACAGACCGACCACGUCAACAGGAGGUGCCAUCAUUACCCUGCCCCAAGCUGACUCAGGCUACGGGGAACAAGAUCGGUGUCCCAUUUGGCUCGCUCCGCCAGACAAGUAAUGAUGGCGCCCCACACGCUCUAUGACGACGGCGGCUCUCAGCCCCCUUACGGAAGCAAGAGGACGUCAGCAAGGACUCGACAGCCCCGACAGCUGUCCUUCCGCCAGGCUCCGGCGCUCCUCCGACGGCCACGACAUCACACGAACCGGGUGCCAAAACCUCUCCGGCUGCCACGAUGGCAUAUACUUAGGGCGCUAGCUCUCCUCCGCUAGACACGUUAGCACACUGCUACACCCCCCAUUGUACACCUGGAUCCUUUCCUUGCGCCUAUAAAAGGAAGGACCAGUGCCCUCUUACGAGGGUUGGCCGCACGGAGAAGGACGGGACAACGCUCGCGUGAGGCCGCUCGCUCCCUCCCGCGUGGAUGCUUGUAACCCCCUACUGCAAGCGCACCCGACCAGGGCGUAGGACAAACACGAAGGCCACGGGAUUCCACCUCUCACACCCGUCUCCGGCUGCUUUCCCCCUUCGCGCUCCGUCUCGCGCCGACCCAUCUGGGCUGGGGCACGCGGCGAUAAUUUACUCGUCGGUCCAGGGACCCCCCGGGUUCAAAACGCCGACAGUUGGCGCGCCAGGUAGGGGCCUGCUGCGUGUUGACGAACAGCUUCCCGUCAAGCUCCAGAUGGGCAGUCUCCAGCAACCUUUCCGGCCCGGGACGGUGCUCCGUUUCGAGAGUCUUGAGUUCAUGUCCCUCGACGGCAGCUACGACAUGAUACUCCUUCCCCCGCCGCGCGACAGCGACAAUGGCGGCCGACAGCCCGCCCGCCGGCGGCGAAAUCGACGACGUCUUCCCCGCGUGGUGGAAGAACAACAUUCGAGCUUGCCCCGUCCCCUCCCCCGCCAACGGAGGAGGAGGCGGGGCAACCAAGGCCAAGCAGGAGGCAGCACCUCGUCAGCUGUCGAGCGAGUCGACGGCGCCGGCGCCCCAACGGGGGGCACGUCGGGCAUCGACCUCGCGUCUGAGACGAAGACGAGCGCCGUCUCCCCGCAACACGCCAGUCCCAAGCCAACGGACGACGCCAGCACGCUCGCGAAGGACUUGCUGGGCGUCACCCUCGUACCUGAGACGACGGUGCAGUCAGCCCCUGACGUGACUUCAUCACCGCCCGUCGACCAAGAGGUACCAACCGGUUCCCAUCUCACGCCUUUUGGAUUCAGCCUCGACCCACCAAGCGACUUUGCUUUGGUGGACGCUCUCAUAGAGGCGAGUCCCAACCCUCUGGGGUAUCGUAUGCGGUCACCCUGGGACCGGCUGACGGACGUCUCGACCUACGGGCCCUCAGGGUCCGAGGAAGAUGACGAGCCCGACUUCUGUUGGGAUUUCUCCGGACUUGGCAACCCCAGUGCCAUGCGGGACUUUAUGACCGUGUGCGACUACUGCCUUUCCGAUUGUUCUGACGGUAGCCGCAGCCUCGGCGACGAGGACUGCGGCCCAAGUCGUGAAUGUUUCCACGUCGAUCUAGGGGGUCCCAACGAAGGCAACCAUCUUGGUAUGCCGGAGAACGGUGACCUCCCUAGGCCUGUGCCUCGCGUUGACAUCCUACGGGAGCUAGCUGUGGUCCCCGUUCCGGCGGGGGUCAUGACCCAUAGCUCGAGCAAAUCCGCGGGGUGCAGGCCAGGCUCGACGAGGGAGCAGGAACACUUGAGCCGAUCCGCUGGGACAUCGGGCAGGAAUGGGCGGGCCAACCUUCGGCCGGAGAAGUGCGUCAUCUACCCCAGGGUAUCCAGCACCGCAUCGUCGACGAUGUCAGGGUAAGGCCACCACCGACUUCCAGUGGAGUCGGCCAGAACCUGGCUGCAGCAGCAAUGCUUCUCCACGCGAUGCCGGAGCCAUCAACCACCGAGGGGCGGCGUAUCCAGGGAGAGCUCGAGAAUCUCCUGGAGGACGCCGCAGUCCGACGGGCCGAAAGCUCCACCUCCCGAAGGUAGGGGUACCCCUCGGAACAUCGCGCCGCGACUUCCCGAUUCAUGCGGGAAGCCUCGUUCCACACCGGGCUCACGCGCAACACAGCGCCUGCGGCCCCGGGUCGCCUCGGCAACGAGCACCACCACCGCAACUGUCGGGCCCACCUCGACGAGAGGGUGCGCCGAGGCUACCACCCCAGGCGUGGGGGACGCUACGACAGCGAGGAGGAUCGGAGUCCCUCGCCCGAACCACCCGGUCCGCAGGCUUCCAGCCGCACCAUAUGACGGGCGCCGUUCCCGACCCGGUUCCGAACCCCGACUACUAUCGCAAAGUACUCGGGGGAGAUGAGACCGGAACUGUGGCUCGCGGACUACCGGCUGGCCUGUCAACUGGGUGGAAUGGACGACGACAACCUCAUCAUCCGCAACCUCCCCCUGUUCCUCUCCGAUACCGCUCGGGCCUGGCUGGAGCACCUGCCUCCGCGGCAGAUCUCCAACUGGGACGACCUGGUCCAGGCCUUCGCUGGCAACUUCCAGGGCACAUAUGUGCGCCCUGGAAACUCCUGGGAUCUCCGAAGCUGCCGACAGCAGCCGGAAGAGUCUCUCCGGGACUACAUCUGGCGAUUCUCGAAGCAGCGCACCGAGCUGCCCAACAUCACCGAUUCAGAUGUCAUCGGCGCGUUCCUCGCCGGCACCACCUGCUGCGACCUGGUGAACAAGCUGGGUCGCAAGACCCCCACCAGGGCGAGCGAGCUGAUGGACAUCGCCACCAAGUUCGCCUCUGGCCAGGAGGCGGUUGAGGCUAUCUUCCGGAAGGACAAGCAGCCCCACGGCCGCCCACCGGAAGAUGUCCCUGAUGCGUCUACUCAGCGCGGCGUCAAGAAGAAAGGCAAGAAGAAGUCGCAAGCGAAACGCGACGCCGCCGACGCGAACCUUGUCGCCGCUGCCGAGUACAAGAACCCUCAGAAACCUCCCGGAGGUGCCAACCUCUUCGACAAGAUGCUCAAGGAGCCGUGCCCCUAUCAUCAGGGGCCCGUUAAGCACACCCUUGAGGAGUGCGCCAUGCUUCGGCGCCACUUUCACAAGGCCGGACCACCCGCGGAGGGUGGCAGGGCUCGUGACGACGACAAGAAGGAAGAUCACCAGGCAGGAGGGUUCCCCGAGGUCCGCGACUGCUUCAUGAUCUACGGUGUGCAAGUGGCGAAUGUCUCGGCUCGGCACCGCAAGCAAGAGCGUCGGGAGGUCUGUUCGGUAAAGGUGGCGGCGCCAGUCUACCUAGACUGGUCCGACAAGCCCAUCACCUUCGACCGAGACGACCACCCCGACCGCGUGCCGAGCCCGGGGAAAUACCCGCUCGUUGUCGACCCCGUCAUCGGCGACGUCAGGCUCACCAAGGUCCUCAUGGACGGAGGCAGCAGCCUCAACAUCAUCUACGACGAGACCCUCGGGCUCCUGCGGGUCGAUCUGUCCUCGGUCCGGGCAGGCGCUGCGCCUUUCCACGGGAUCAUCCCCAGGAAACGCGUCCAGCCCCUCGGGCAACUCGAUCUACCCGUCUGCUUUGGGACGCCCUCCAACUUCCGAAGGGAGACCCUCACGUUCGAGGUGGUCGGGUUCCGAGGAACCUACCAUGCCGUGCUGGGGAGACCAUGCUACGCAAAGUUCAUGGCCGUCCCCAACUACGCCUACCUCAAGCUCAAGAUGUCGGGCCCCAACGGGGUCAUCACCGUCGGCCCCACGUACCGACACGCGUACGAAUGCGACGUGGAGUACGCCGAGGCCCUCGCCGAAUCCGAGGCCCUCAUCGCCGACCUAGAGAGCCUCUCUAAGGAGGCGCCAGACGUGAAGCGCCACGCCGGCAACUUCGAGCCGACAGAGAUGGUUUAAUCCGUCCCUCUCGACCCCAGCAGCGACGCCUCCAAGCAGAUCCGGAUCGGCUCCGAGCUCGAUCCCGAAUAGGAAGCAGUGCUCGUCGACUUUCUCCGUGCAAACGCCGACGUUUUCGCGUGGAGUCCCUCGUACAUGCACGGCAUACCGAGGGAUGUCGCCGAGCACUCGCUGGAUAUCCGAGCUGGAGCCCGACCCGUGAAGCAGCCUCUGCGCCGAUUCGACGAAGAAAAGCAGAGAGCCAUAGGCGAGGAGAUCCACAAGCUAACGGCGACACGGUUCAUCAAAGAGGUAUUUCAUCCCAAAUGGCUUGUCAACCCUGUUCUUGUGAGAAAGAAAGGAGGGAAAUGGCGGAUGUGUGUAGACUACACUGGUCUAAACAAAGCAUGUCCGAAAGUUCCCUAUCCUCUGCCUCGCAUCGAUCAAAUCGUGGAUUCCACUGCUGGGUGCGAAACCCUGUCUUUCCUCGAUGCCUACUCAGGGUAUCACCAGAUUAGGAUGAAAGAGUCCGACCAGCUCGCGACCUCUUUCAUCACACCCUUCGGCAUGUACUGCUAUGUUACCAUGCCGUUCGGCUUGAGGAAUGCGGGUGCAACGUAACAACGGUGCAUGAACAAUGUGUUCGGCGAACACAUUGGCCGGACGGUCGAGGCCUACGUCGAUGACAUCGUAGUCAAGACGAGGAAAGCCUCCGACCUCCUUUCCGACCUUGAAGUGACAUUCUGAUGUCUCAAGGCGAAAGGCGUGAAGCUCAAUCCCGAAAAGUGUGUCUUCGAGGUUCCCCGAGGCAUGCUCUUGGGGUUCAUCGUCUCCGAGCGGGGCAUCGAGGCCAACCCGGAGAAGAUCGCGGCCAUCACCAGCAUGGGGCCCAUCAAGGACUUGAAAGGCGUACAGAGAGUCACGGGAUGCCUUGCGGCUCUGAGCCGCUUCAUCUCGCGCCACGGUGAAAGAGGUCUGCCUCUGUACCGCCUCUUAAGGAAGGCCGAGUGCUUCACUUGGACCCCUGAGGCCGAGGAAGCCCUCGGGAACCUGAAGGCGCUCCUUACAAACGCGCCCAUCUUGGUGCCCCCCGCUGCCGGAGAAGCCCUCUUGAUCUACAUCGCCGCGACCACUCAGGUGGUUAGCGCCGCGAUUGUGGUUGAGAUACGAGAAGAGGGGCAUGCAUUGCCCGUCCAGAGGCCAGUCUACUUCAUCAGCAAGGUACUGUCCGAGACCAAGAUCCGCUACCCACAAAUUCAGAAGCUGCUGUACGCGGUGAUCCUGACGCGGCGGAAGUUGCGACACUACUUCGAGUCUCAACCGGUAACUGUGGUGUCAUCCUUCCCCCUGGGGGAGAUCAUCCAGUGACGCGAGGCCUCGGGUAGAAUUGCAAAGUGGGCGGAGGAAAUCAUGGGCGAGACGAUCUCGUUCGCCCCUCGGAAGUCCAUCAAGUCCCAGGUGUUUGCGGACUUCGUGGCUGAAUGGGUCGACACCCAGCUCCCAACAGCUCUGAUCCAACCGGAACUCUGGACCAUGUUCUUCGACGGGUCGCUGAUGAAGACAGGUGCAGGCGCAGGCCUGCUCUUCAUCUCGCCCCUCGGGAAGCACCUAUGCUACGUGCCGCGCCUCCACUUCCCGGCGUCCAACAAUGUGGCUGAGUACGAGGCUCUGGUCAACGGUUUGUGCAUCGCCAUCGAACUAGGGGUCCGACGCCUCGACGCUCGUGGUGACUCGCAGCUCGUCAUCGACCAAGUCAUGAAGAACUCCCACUGCCGCGACCCGAAGAUGGAAGCAUACUGCGAUGAGGUUCGACGCCUGGAAGACAAGUUCUACGAGCUCGAGCUCAACCACAUCGCCCGACGCUACAACGAGACUGCGGACGAGCUGGCUAAAAUAGCCUCGGGGCGAACAACGGUUCCCCCGGACGUCUUCUCCCGAGACCUGCAUCAACCCUCUGUCAAGACCGACGACACGCUCGAGCCCGAGAAGGCCUCGGCCCAGCCCGAGGCACCCUCGGCUCAGUCCAAGGUACCCUCGGCUCGGCCUGAGCUACCCUCGGCCCCCGAGGGUGAGGCACUGCGCGUCGAGGAGGAGCGAAGCGGGGUCACGCCCAAUCGAAACUGGCAUACCCCGUACCUGCAAUAUCUCCACCGAGGAGAGCUACCCCUCGACCGAGCCGAAGCUCGGCGGUUGGCGCGGCGCGCCAAGUCGUUCGUCUUGCUGGGAGACGGGAAGGAGCUCUACCACCGCAGCCCCUCGGGCAUCCUCCAGCGAUGCAUUUCCAUCGCCGAAGGUCAGGAGCUCCUACAAGAGAUACACUCGGGGGCUUGCGGCCAUCACGCAACACCUCGAACCCUUGUUGGAAACGCCUUCCGACAAGGUUUCUACUGGCCGACGGCGGUGGCCGACGCCACUAGAAUUGUCCGCACCUGCGAAGGGUGUCAGUUCUACGCAAGGCAGACCCACCUGCCUGCUCAGGCCCCGCAGACAAUACCCAUCACCUGGUCGUUUGCUGUGUGGGGUCUGGACCUAGUCGGUCCCUUGCAGAAGGCACCCGGGGGCUACACGCACCUGCUGGUCGCCAUCGACAAAUUCUCCAAGUGGAUCGAGGUCCGACCCCUAAACAGCAUCAGGUCCGAACAGGCAGUGGCGUUCUUCACCAACAUCAUCCAUCGCUUUAGGGUCCCGAACUCCAUCAUCACCGACAACGGCACCCAGUUCACCGGCAGAAAGUUCCUGGACUUCUGUGAGGAUCACCACAUCCGGGUGGUCUGGGCCGCCGUGGCCCACCCCAUGACGAAUGGGCAGGUAGAACGUGCCAACGACAUGAUUCUACAAGGACUCAAGCCUCGGAUCUACAACGACCUCAACAAAUUCGGCAAGCGGUGGAUGAAGGAACUCCCCUCGGUGAUCUGGAGUCUGAGGACAACACCGAGCCGAGCCACGGGCUUCACACCGUUCUUUCUAGUCUAUGGGGCCGAGGCCAUCUUGCCCACAGACUUAGAAUACGGUUCCCCGAGGACGAGGGCCUACGCCGACCAAAGCAAUCAAGCUAGUCGAGAAGACUCACUUGACCAGCUGGAAGAGGCUCGGGACAUGGCCUUACUACACUCGGCGCGGUACCAGCAGUCCCUGCGAUGCUACCACGCCCGUGGGGUUCGGUCCCGAGACCUCCAGGUGGGCGACCUGGUGCUUCGGCUGCGACAAGACGCUCGAGGGCGGCACAAGCUCACGCCUCCCUGGGAAGGGCCAUUCGUCAUCGCCAAAGUUCUGAAGCCCGGAACGUACAAGCUAGCCAACAGUCAAGGCGAGGUCUACAGCAACGCUUGGAACAUCCAACAGCUACGUCGCUUCUACCCUUAAGAUGCUUUCAAGUUGUUCGUAUGCCUCGUUCCCACGCAAAGUUUAGUCAUCAAGGAAGGGUCAGCCUUGCCUCGGCAAAGCCCGACCCUCCCUCGGGGGCUAAAAGGGGGGAACCCCCUCUGUGCCAAAAUUUUCCUCGGAAAAAGAUCUUUUUCGCCAGAAUGUCUUUCGUGCUUUUCGACUACUUCGAAAGUGGAUCCUGAAAACGACGGAGUACACGUAAGCAGCCAAGGCUGACCGAGCCGAGGGACUCCUACGCCUCCGGGAUACGGAUACCUCACUCAUCACCUUCUGCGAUAAGUAACUCGCGCUCGGAUAAGUGAUUCCGUGGACCGAACAAGUCUUCGCGCUCGAAAGCUCCUCUGCCGGAACGAUUUUUCGGGCCUUCUCGACUGUCGGUGACAGAACUCUAUGGACGAGUAAGAGUGCGUGUAAGUGGCAAGGCCGACCGAGCCGAGGGAUUCCUAUGCCUCCGGGAUACGGAUACCUCACUCAUCACCUUUCGUGAAAAGCAACUCUCGCUCGCACAAACAAUUCUGUUACCGACAAACAAGUCCAGAUACUCGAAACAAGGGGAAAAGAAACGCAGCUUUACAACACGACGAUGGUAUGUUUGGGCCUCGGCGUCCGCAGAAAACAUACACACACUACAAGAUAAUCCAAUCCUGCAGGCUCGGAUCUUGACAGUUGAAGGGAGCAGCAGCACCCUCGGCGUCAACUACACCUUCGGCGAGCUCCGACCUAGCCUUGGACGGCGACGCGGUCGGAGGAUCUCCACUCUAAAGGACGACAUCAACACCACGCCCAGGCCAUCGCCGCCAGGGUCUUCUCCAGGAAUCCGGCUCGAGCAGACGGCUCGGCCGGCCACCCCGAGGCCUCGGCCGGCUGUCCCCCGAAGACAUAAGCCCGGCCCGUGGCCUCGGCAACUCAACUCCGGCGUCGGUCCCGCCAGCGGACGACCCGGCCAGGCUCCGGCCGACCAAGUCUUCUUUUCGAAGCCAACUCUGCCUCUGUUCGAGCUGACACCGCUACCCCCGGCUUCGGCUCAUCGAAGAGCGACCGAGGGGUUCCUUUAACUAAGCAAGAGAAGCCUCGGACAGCAAGGCCUACCGAGCCGAGGGACUCCUACUCCUCCGGGAUACGGAUACCUCACUCGUCACCUUCGCACGAGGCGACUCACGCUUGGUGAAGCGGUUCAGAUAACCAACAGGCGAGUCUUAGUGCUCGAAAAUGAGGAAAAAACAUGGCUCCGCGCCGAAAAUACAUACAUGUUCAGGCCCCGACAGCCACAAUGAACAGAAGACCGACAUUCAAGGUGCCAUUACAAGCGGAACCCCGGUUCCACCUCCGCAGGUACAAACAACCCCACAUGAUUGGGGGGCCUGCGGAGCAACAGAAGGCCGACGGGUGGCUCACCGUCGCCCGCUCCGGCAGCAGCGACAACGACCCCCGCUCUGGGUGCCCGAACUGCAGCAUCGAUGGCCUCAGGGCGGACGCCGCUGCAACCUUGCCCUCGCCCACGCUGACGCUCGAGGGGCGAGGACAAGUACAAAGAGCCGGAGGCCCGGAGCGCGGAUGGUGGCGGUGAUCCCAUCGGCGACGGGGACUUCUCGAGCCGCAUCCACCUCGGCACCGACGACAGGAACCGUCAGCCCAUCGGCAGAUCCCCACUCGGAUCCUUCCGGACGAGCGGGGCACCGACCUCCGCGCGGAGGCGCCGUACCGGUGCAAAGGCAGGAUGACCCUAGAACACGAACGCCGCCCUAGCUACGCGCGACGUCUUGGGCGGUCCUCCCGUGCGCACGGCGCGACAACUGCCCUUGCGGCGGGAGGGGGCAUCGGGAGCCAAGCCGGCGAGCCCAACAUGCUGAAGCUGACGACGCCCGCCGUCGACCAGCCCCGCGUUGUCGAAGUCCGCCCCUCUCGCAGGGCCAGUGAGCGCCCUCUCCCUUGAAUGCUGAAGGAGAGGCUGACCCACGAACCCGCGCGGGAGGUAGAGCUCUGGCUCAGCCCGGCCUCCACCCUAGCAAGGAUGAUGAACAUCCUUGAAGCUGAGGGUGGGACCAAGAUCGCAGCCCGACUUGCUUCUCCCCACCCAGGGGCUGGUGGUCACCGUCUUGGGUGACCGCCGGCGAGGGGGUGCAGCCGGGCUGCCUGAUGAAAAUCCUUGAAGCCGAACGAUGGCUGAAAGGUACCAACUUCCACGAAGUUGCGUUCCUCCAACGGCAAGUCGAGAGGAUUGCGGGUGUUCCCCAUCCGGGGGCUCAGAAGGUGGAAAGACACGAUGCAUAAGGGAGCGCGAAGACAUGGUCGCCUUCCAAGGGGGUCACCCUCCUUUUAAAGGCGACUCUCCCUACUUGCGUCCCCAGCCGUCGUGGGCUGAGUCUUCUCCAACACGCUCCAAGAUCCUCCCCCUACGGCGCGGGGGCUGGGUCCCACGCGUCAUGCAAGCUGGCCCAGAGCAGAAGAAGCCAAACCACCGCGCGCGGUGCAUGCAACCGCCCAACGAUUACGAGCAUUCCUCCACUUUUGCCCAGACCAGCGGGUGAAAGGGCGGGCAGCCAUGCAGGCGGCAUGCAACCGCGCCAAGUGGGCGCACCCCUCCGACUUCCAACGCACCCAGCAUGGAGGCCCAGGCCCACGCGCCAUGCAACCGGCGCGUCGGUUGCUACGUGCAAGCAACUGCACCGCCACUCGCACCACUACCACGCCUCCUCGACUACGGAACCAGUACCGCGACUCGAGGCAACCCUGCGUAUGACCCAGCAGUGCCAGCCAGGCGCGACGGUCAAUACGACCAAAAAUGGGCCGACGGUAAUGGCGGUGGCAGGCGGGCAGGAGCAGCGGUCACGUCGUCAGCCAAGCUCACGUCCCAUCCAGGGGCAGCGAGAGAACCCUCUCUCACGGCGUGAAGACGGCGCGCCCGUGUUCUGUUCCUCGAACGGCUCGCGCACGCACAACGGCCGCCCCGCGAACCACUCGCCCCGUCGCAUUAACUCCGCGGCGGGACAGGCGGCGCCUCUGGCAGGAGAAGCGAGCGACGCUUCGCCUUCGCCAUAAUGACCGCGUCAAAAAAGGUACGCCACGUCAUUCGAUUUUGUAUCCUUUUCCUUUUCCUCUUUCUCUCUCUUACAACAGGGACCGGGAAAGGGGGAUACCCCGAAAAGGAUCCUUCUCCGUGAAGGAAACAGGCCCCGAGCCUCCCUACUGAUCAGAGGUUCAAAGGCUGGCCCCUCGGAGGGGUUCAACAGCCGCCUCAGAGCGCUUGGGUUCCGCGCCCACUACUGGUCAGAGGUUCGAAGGCCAGCCCCUCGGAAGGGUUCAACAGCCGCCUCAGGCCACUCGGGCUCCGCGCCCACUACUGAUCAGGGGUUCGUAGGCUGGCCCUCGAAGGGUUCACAGCCGCCUCAAACACAGAGCGAGGGAUGACCCUGGGUACGUUCGAUACAUAACCAAGGCUCGGGCUACGCUCCCGAGGUACCCUAGGACAUUUCCGAGACCAGCGGGAACGAUCUUGUAAUGGAAUCCCAUCAGAGGGAGGCAUCGAGCCCUCGGAACAAAAUGCAACCGAGAAAGGCUGGUCCCCUUGCAAAAAAGUGCGACAAAAGCCUCCAAGCGAGUAUUAACACUCCCUUCGAGGCUCGGGGGCUACUGUCGGGAACCAUAAUUAGGGGUACCCUCAAGGCUCCUAAAUCUCAGCUGGUAACCCCCAUCAGCACGAAGCUGUAAAGGCCUGAUGGGUGCGAUUAAGUCAAGGAUCGGUCCAUUCAAGGGGCGCGAUCACGCCUCGCCCGAGCCCAGCCUCGGGCAAGGGCAGCCGACCCCGGAGGAACUACGUCUCGCCCGAGGCCCCCUCCAUCAACGGACACACCUUCGGCUCGCCCAAGGCCCAGUCUUCACCAAGAAGCAACCUUUGCCAAAUCGCCACGCCAACCGACCAAAUCGCAGGGGCAUUUAAUGCAAAGGUGGCCUGACACCUUUAUCCUGACGCACGCUCCCCAGUCGACAGAGCCAAAGUGACCGCAGUCACUUCGCCGCUCCACUGACCGGUUUGAUAAGAGGACAGCGCCGCCUGCGCCGCUCGGACUGCUGUGCCACUCGGCAGAGUGAGGCUGACAGCAGCCAAGUCCGGCCUCAGACGCCAUAGGAAACUCCGCUUCGCCCGACCCCAGGACUUGGGCUCAGCCCCGGAAUACGGCGAACUCCGCUCCGCCCGACCCUAGGGCUCGGACUCGGGCUCAGCCCCGGAAGACGACGAACUCCGCUCCGCCUGACCCCAGGGCUCGGACUCGGGCUCAGCCCCGGAAGACGACGAACUCCGCCUCGCCCGACCCCAGGGCUCGGACUCGGGCUCAGCCACGAAGGACGACAAACUCCGCUUCGCCCGACCCCAGGGCUCGGACUCAGCCCUGGCAUCAGCCGACGGUCUCCACCUCGUCCAACCCGGAGGCUCAGACUCGACCUCGAUCUUGGAAGACAGACUCGACCUCGACCUCGGAGAAGCCUCCACCUCGCCCAACCUAGGGCACGGACCGACCACGUCAACAGGAGGCGCCAUCAUUACCCUGCCCCAAGCUGACUCAGGCUACGGGGAACAAGACCGGCGUCCCAUCUGGCUCGCUCCGCCAGACAAGUAAUGAUGGCGCCCCGCACGCUCUAUGACGACGGCGGCUCUCAGCCCCCUUACGGAAGCAAGAGGACGUCAGCAAGGACUCGACAGCCCCGACAGCUGUCAUUCCGCCAGGCUCCGGCGCUCCUCCGACGGCCACGACAUCACACGAACCGGGUGCCAAAACCUCUCCGGCUGCCACGAUGGCAUGUACUUAGGGCGCUAGCUCUCCUCCGCUAGACACGUUAGCACACUGCUACACCCCUCAUUGUACACCUAGAUCCUUUCCUUGCGCCUAUAAAAGGAAGGACCAGGGCCCUCUUACGAGGGCUGGCCGCGCGGAGAAGGACGGGACGGCGCUCGCGUGAGGCCGCUCGCUCCCUCCCGCGUGGACGCUUGUAACCCCCUACUGCAAGCGCACCCGACCAGGGCGCGGGACAAAUACGAAGGCCGCGGGAUUCCACCUCUCACGCCCGUCUCCCUCCGGCUGCUUCCCCCCUUCGCGCUCCGUCUCGCGCCGACCCAUCUGGGCUGGGGCACGCGACGAUAAUUUACUCGUCGGUCUAGGGACCCCCCGGGUUUAAAACGCCGACAAUACUGCACAAACGAAUUUACGCAGGUGGGAAAUUCUUGGUGGAUCACCUCAUACUAAUUGUAUGGGAGAAUAAUCAUGAUAUGCAAUUGGUCGUAGUUGGAUUAAGUCAGCAGCGUGUAAAACCGCAUGACCCCAACAUGACGAAGGCAAAGAGCAAUUUAUCAGUAAUGGACGAGCAAUCAGUUUGAUUCUCUUAAUCAAUGAUUCGGCCAAACCAUUUUGAGUAUGGACAUAUGGAAUGUAAUGUUGUACUUCAAUUCCCAAAGCCAUGCAAUAAUCAUUGGAAGCAUGGGAGGAAAAUUCAGCUGCAUUAUCCAAUCGAAUUGAUUUAAUCCUAUGUUCAGGGUGAUUUGCUUUGAGUCUAAUGAUUUGAGACAUUAUUUUAGCAAAUGCAUGGUUUCGUGUGGAUAAUAAGCACACAUGUGACCAUCUUGUAGAUGCGUCAAUCAAAACCUUAAAGUAUAUGAAUGGUCCUGAACUAGAUUCGAUUGGUCCACAAAUAUCACCUUGAAUUCUUUCAAGGAAUUGAAGUGGUUCGGUUCUGAUUUUAAUAUUUGAUGGUCUCAAAAUCAAUUUCCCAGUAGCGCAGGCAGUGCAUACAUAAUCCGAAGAUUAGGGAAAUUUUGCUUCGUUUAAAUCAUGACCGAUAGAAUUGCUUAUAAUCUUUCUCAUCAUCCCUAUGCCAGGAUGCCCAAGUCGAUCAUGCCAAAUUUUGAAGGCAUCGACAUUUUGAAAGAUUACUUUAUAUGUAACAUGUUUUAUAGGUUUGAUGUAUGUAUAAUACAAUCCAGAAUCUAGAGAUGGAAUUUUUUCGCAUAUUUGUUUGCCAUAUCCGGUUAGUUUGGUAAGUAUAAGAAAUUCUUCUUUAUUUUCUACAUGUGUUUCCACAUGAAUACCAUUCUUACGGAUAUCUCUAUAACUCAACAAGGUACGCGUUGAAUCGGGGUACAAUAAUGCAUCCUCGAUUAUAAUCUGUGUGCCCAUUGGUAGAGUGAUAAUGGCUCAUCCAGAACCAACUAUCAAAACAUCUCUACCGGCUAUUGUUAAAACAUUUCCUUCUUUUCUUUUGAUAGUUUGAAAAUAUCUUAUUUCUGUGAGUAUAGUGUUUGUGGUGCAACUAUCCACAAGACAUAAUUCCUCUUCUGUUGGAUUGUCUUCGGUUGACAUCGUUCUUCCUUCCCUGUUCGUCUCUUCUUCUUCUGGCGAGAGCGGGUGCUGAUAACGUGUUAGAAAACGAAGGGACUGAAGCAAAUGAUACGUAUCCUUUUCAUUCAAUGGUUGUGUGUAUUUAUACAUAGUGAAACAACAGAAAACUUAUCUGUUCGCUAAGGACGUUUUCCUCGUCGUAGGAGAGAGGGAGAGGGGUGCCUGUUCGAGAACAGGAUUUACAUAAAGAAAUAUUAUUAACACUAAUCUUAUUAACUAAUGACUGUCGAUCUUGUUAAUCUCCACCUUUGAUAUUAAGUGUGUUUCUUUCUCCGGAUUGCUGACGUAGACGAAAUCAUUUUUUCCUUAACAGCCCCAACUUGCUCGGCGGUGUAGUGUGAAGCCAACACGGGGAGAGCACCGACCAGACGAGAUUCAUCCGAUCAGACAGCCUGCCGGCAGUUGAGUCGAGUUCAGACCUGGGGAGAUUUUUGCCCAUAUAGCAGCGGACCUCAAGUGCCGCCAGCGCGCCAUCCGCCGCUUGCCGAAAGCAUUACAGAACGGCAACAACGCCACCAGAUUCCAGACGAGCCGAAAGCAUCCGUUGUCUUGCGUCCGCCGUUCUCCGCGUGGCCGCGCGAUGCCACCAUCAUCGAGCGCGACGCCCGAAUUUUUUGUAUUUUAGCCCCUAAACUGAAGUAAAUUCACGUUUAGACCUAAAAAAAUUUUAAAUGCAGUUUUGGACCCUUUGCUCGGCGCCAUAGGCCGUGGCGCCGAGCUAACACAGCUCGGCGCCACAGCCUAUGGCGCCGAGCUCUGACGUGGCCGCAACGGCUAGUUGCGUCCAGGGCUUACCUGGCUCCGACGUGGCGGCGGCGCGGCCUCGUAGCUCGGCGCCACAGAUCUUGGCGCCGAGCUACGAAUGCCUAUAAAAACGCCCGCGCGGCUGGCCGAGAGCAGCUCAUUUCAUCCCAUUUCCAAACUUCGUCAAAAAUUGCUGGAUUCAAAGAUUUGAGUUGGUUCAAUUCGUAGGCCAAGGUAUGAUUUCGAACUGAUUCGUUUUGUAUAUUGGGUUGUUAGUUAAAUAAUUUGUAUACACCUAUUAUAUUAUUAUUUCGAAUAUUAGUUUGUGUAGACUUAUUAUAAAGCAUAAUAGGUACAAGUGAUAAUUAUAAUCGUUUAUUAGAUGAAAGACAUGUACCGAGAGGCGUUGUGGCAGAAGAGAGGUCGUCCUCGGGAGUUAUAUCCGGACGUAUCUAGUAAGGAUGCUCCUGUUCCUCCUGAACUCCCCGUGCCUAACUGUGACUGUGGCAGACUGGCUUGGGUACAUCAAUCACAACAUCCAGACACGGCUGCUCGCUGCUACUACCUUUGUGGCACUUUGGACGUACGUAGCUUAUGACUUGUCACUUAAUUUUGUUCGCAUUCAUUAUUUUGUAGAUAUGUAAUAGUGCAUCUUUCAAUUAUUUUAGGGACAUCAGAGGUGUUUCUUUUUCCAGUGGAUCGAUGGUCCUGAUAAAUUUGACCCUCGAUAUCUUCUUUUCGUUAAUUGGUUGAGUGGAAGGACCACUCAUGAGCGUUUUAAGCGUUGGGUACCUCCUCCCCCGAAUCCUCCACCAAUGACGGAUGCGGAGAAGGAGGUAGCAACAGAAAGGCGGAUGGACUCACCGCCUCGAUGCGAUUGUGGAGACCGUGCUGUCAUCGACGAAGACUAUGACAAGCAGUUCUGUUGUCCGAACAUUGAUUAUGUGAGCCCAUUGAUACGCUAAAUGUAUGAACUAGUUUUUAUUUACAAUAAAUUACUAAUUUUUUCUCCUGCAGCCAUACGGGUGGCGUAAGUGUCGUUUCAGAGAGUGGUUGUAUGGUCCUUUGUCCCAUUGGCCAGAGCCACAGGUAAAGGAAAAGAGAUACAUGGGGUGGGCGGCAGAAGAGGUCAAAUUUGAUCCAGUACUCUGCAAAUGUGGUAUUGAAGCUAAGUAUGGAUUAGUUCCUUCGGAGCUUGGCGUUGGAUAUUUUUGUGGACAUAUGGUCGAUUACGAUGAGGUUGGUAUUUUUUUUGCACCAGAUGUAAUGUUAUAGCGGUACUUACUAUUUUUUUGUAGGAGACGAGGAAAUGCAGUUGGGAGAGUUACGACGACAAAGGAGAGGUGAUGCGGACAAUAGAGUCCAAGAGAAUAAUGGGACAGAAGAUGCGUUGUGGAUCUCAGCUCGUUGAUUCGUACAUUAACGAUCGCAUACGCGACAUGCGUAGGGAAGCAAAGUCUGCCUUUUAUGAUAGCCCGAAGCGUGCAGAGUAUAGGAGGUUGAAGGCGGCAGAUGAGAAGAGAGCACAGGAUGCAAGGGAAUGGGAAGCGGCUCAAGCCGAGAAACAGAUGUUGGAUAAUCUUGCUGAUCGCCUCAAGGGAAGUAAGUGAGAUAAAUGAUAUUAUAAUUAUGUUAGUACAAUUUAUUUAUCCUGACUUUGCUAACUUAAUUUUCUCAUUAUAUUUGCAGAGAUUGGAAGCGGCGUAAACUAUUUGGCCGAUGAGGCGCAUGCGAGAUAUGUUCAGGAUAAAAUGGCAACGGUUGAGCUGAUGGAGGAGGAGGACGACGACACAUCUAGAUUGAGUGAGCUUAUCGCCCUCGCAGAGGCAGGAUUACAUAAAGAAGAGGAGGACGACAUGUCAAGGUUGAGUGAGCUCAUAGCACUAGCUGAGGCAGGAUUACGUGCUCAAGAGGAAGAGGAUGAGUUUCUGUCACAGGCCGCCGCAGAGGUAGAGGCAGCUUAUUACAAGAAGAAGUCUGAUGAGGCUGAGGCUAAGGAUGAGCUAUUCUCCCAAGCUGCAGAUGAAGCAGAAGCCAAUUAUUACAAAAGAACUGGUGACAAGUGUGAUGCAGGACAAUGCAGCAAGUGGAAUGAGGUUGUUGUUGAGGAUUGCGAGACGGAUGACUCCGAAGAUGAGUUACUCAUAGAUUGUGAUUCAGACUGAAGAAUUGUAGCCUAUUAUGUAGUAUUUACGUAUCAAAAAUAAUUUAGAACUCUAAAGAUGCGUUACUUAUUGAUUAUUAUGUUUUUUACGAUUCACAAAAAAAUUUUGCAAGAGUUCCCCUUGUUUUAUUAACAACCACAGUUCAAAUAAUCACAUAUUAUAAGACAUAUAAGCAUUUCAACAUAUAAUACAUCACAAAAUCACAUCGAAUAUAAAAACAUCCACAGAACAUAGUUCUUCAUAUAAUGUCCACAAACAAAGUCCAAAAUACAAGUUCCCCAACACAUAGUCCAAAACACAAAACAUAGUUCAUAUUACAACCGUCUCCAGCAUAAGUCCAAAUCACACAGUCCAUAUCACAAAAGUAUUCAUUUCCUCCUAGUCUUACCCUUGCCCUUGGCCCCAAGAGCGUCGGUGCCUGGAGUGUAAGGGUCUCGUGGACGCCUUCUAUGUGGUGUCAGCUGUGAUGCCUGAGUUGUAGGAGCAUCCUGCAACUGAGACGGUCCAAUCUCCACCUGACCUGCGGCGCCAGCGCCAGCGCCAUCGUCGUCGUCGUCGUCGUCAUCGUCGUCGUCCUGGGCCACGUUCUCAAACGUGUCCCGCGUCGAUCGCGACGAGCUGAGUCCUGCUGUAGAUGGUCCAACUGCACAAAUGGGAGGCUGAACGUCCUGCUCCAUACGAGGCACAGGCAGCUGCACGUCAACGCCCGCUAGAGACCGGCAUCCACACCGAGCCGCUGCUCGACGAAGACGACGUGAUACCCUCUGUAAUCGAAAUGUUAGUUAAAGACAUAUGUUACAACAUACAAAUAAACAAGUUUUCUGUUAGACAUUGAUACUCACUGAUAGUAACGAUAGCGUAGUAGUAUCUGAAGUUCUCUGUGAGAUACGCUCGAGUUCAACAACAGAUACGAGCAUAGAGUUUCCCUAUCACAAGUUAAGACAUUAGGAUGCUCAAAACUAGACAUAUCUCAUUGAAUUGAAAUCUCUAAUUUUAGUAAAGAAAUAGUUACCACUCUAUCAAGGAUUGGAGCAGCCUCAAUUUGGGACCCGUGCCGAGCAGCUAUGUCGAAAGCUGUGUCUUCGUCGUCUGACGAUUCUUGCUCGGCGUAGUCUGCUGCUGUCCACUGUCCCUUCAACUUGCACCUAGUCACACCAGAAUACCAAAUCAAAUACCUCCGGAAGUUGUAGUUUGUGUGCGCCUGGUCAUUCUCAUAGUUCAGAUCCCCCUGCUGGUCCCAUUCAUCAAUGUAAUCACGAUGGUGCGUCUCGAAGUCCGUGACCUUCUUCUGUCUCUGUCUGUCGAACCUGCAAAAGUUAGAACCAUAUAUUAGCGACUAACUGAUAUUUCAAUUAUUAGUUAGAAUAACAAGUGCAUGUAGUAACUCACUUAUGAAGUUCUAUUGAAGUCGAGAAUGGCUCCACCGGAAACUCCUGGCGCAAUCCGAACUGUCGAGCAACUCUGUGGGGCAAGUGGUACUCAACAGCAUAAAAACAGAUGAGGGGACACCUCAUGAGGUAGAGGUUCUCGUCUAUUGAGCACAUGCUGCUCAACUGUAUGCUGGCGAAAUAUGGAUCAAGAUACGGUUGCCAAGUCACCUGCAAAAGUUUUAGAAAGCCCAUGUAAGCACGCUGGUGUCGUGUGAUAAAAGUAGAAAGGACAUGUAAAAAGAAAAAAGGAGACAACUCACCAUCGAUGGAGUAAGUGCGUCGAGCUCGUUUGAGUACUCCACGUAAGCACGCUGGUGUCGUGCGAAUGGCUCCUCGACCUGGUCCCAGCGGUAAGCAGCCGUGGGCUUAAGCCGAUGUCCGGCUACCACGAACCACUCACGAGGAGGAAACUCUCUGGGUCGCCCGACGGGUAUGUGUGCCCACAUCCACAGCUGUAGUAGGUAGACACAUCCACCUAAGCUGGCGGUCCUCGACGAACGACGACAAGCCUCGCAAAGUUGCCUGUACAGGAAGGCCAACACUGCUGAAGCCCAGCUGUAACCUCCGGUCGUAUCCCAGUCAGUCAGGCAGGGCAGAAACAUCCAUGACGCGCUGUCGCCUGUUGCGUCUGGAAAAAGAACUGAACCAAAGAGAUGGAGAAUCCAAGCUCGACAAUGGUAUCCAACUGUCUGCUCAUCUGCACCAGGUGGACACUGCCCAAAGCUCUGCCUAAGCCAGGUCAGUGGGACUCCGGUGUUGUGGCUACCUCGUAGCUCAUCCGGAAGCAGUCUCCCAAGAAAGGCCUCCACCCUCUGCCUCCAACCGCCUGGUGAUGCCUGACCGGUCACUGGACGACCCAUAAUGCUGAGACCAAGAAUCUUCUGGCAAUCUUCAAGCGUCACAGUCAUCUCACCGCAGGGAAGGUGGAAAGUGUGAGUCUCUGGCCGCCACCUAUUGGAAGACAAAAGAAUACAAAAAUCAUUAGUAUGCAAAGUAGAUUUGAUAAUUGUAAAUAUUAAACAACUAGAGAAGUCUUUACCUGUCGACCAGAGCCGUCAACGCCGCUGGGUUGAAAGUGGGCAGCCCACGGCGGACCUGGUACGAUAAGACGUCCAAGCCAGCCCUCUGUAGGAGAGGAGUGUACCUCUCAUCGUACCUCAUCUCCUCCAGAAACCGGUCGUGGGUCCGGACCCGCAGAACGGGCAACACCUAGCAAUCAAAAGAUUUUUCAUUAGUCAAAUAUAGGUCGCAUAUAUUAAUUCAAAUAUAGGUCGCAAAUAUAGCAAACAAAAUAUUACCUCUCCCUCUGCGGUGAGACGGCCCCUGUGGUGCUCGUCGUAGUGAGGGUCCAGCAAGUGGAACUGCGCCAUCCUGCAAAUUAAGAUAUCAACAUAUUAGAAUAUAAGUUGUGUACAAAGUGUAACAAAAACAUCGACAUAUUAGAAUAAAAUUUGUGUAUAAAAAAAUAUAUCACACCUGACUAAGUGUCCAAAUGCAUGUACGUGAGUUGUGGCCAAGUCUACCGCAUUUUCCGCAUUCAUUCUGCUCUGGGUCCACGAGAAAGGGGGACGCUCGUCCUCUCCUACUGCGACCGGAAACCUGAUCCAUAACCAUGUUGCACCGGCUCCUUUUCCUACUACCACGUUUGUCCCAUCGAUGCGCUGGAUCAGCAACGUAUACCGGACCGGUGUACGUUGGCCAUUGUGACUCAUCAAGAAAUGGCUCAAAACGAGGGCUCCAGGUACGUACUAAGCUCUCUACACUGAACUCAGAAGGUAUUCUGCUCUCAAAUGCAAAGUUACGAUGACGUGCGGCCGCAACAUAAUGAGAACAUGGAAAAUGGUAUUGUCUAGGUUUACCACAUCCGCACCAGAAUGCAUCAAGUAACACGACAUGUGUCCUCGAAGGUCACACCUCACCGUCCGAAGUUAUGCCGCCUAGUGUUGUUACCUCGUAUUUACCCAGCUCCUCAUCAAAGCAUUGUACCUCAUGUCUAUGGGCACGUUCCUUUGCAUUAUUAAGGUGUGAUGUUGGUUUAGGUGCCCAUCUCUGCCCUCGGGUCUGCAUUGCCUUGGCCUGCGCGUGUCUAUCAUUAAACCAAGCCACAAGCCUAUAAAAAGUGAAUGUUACUAUAGCAUUGACUGGCAUGCCCCGUAUACCCUUGAGCACACUGUUAAAUGACUCGGCCAUGUUGCUAGUCUGAAACUCGAACCACCAGCCACCUACGUCGUAGGCCCUUGUCCAUUUGUGCGGUUCCCUCAGCAAUCCAGCAAUCCAGUUCUUACCUUCAGCAUUUGUUGCAUCUUGUAGUUCCUUCAACUUAUCCUCGAAAAACGAAACCUCCAACUGACGACAUACCUCCUCAAAAAGGGGGAAGUUAGCCUUGCUAUGAUCCUUUCGAAGAAGAUUUUCUGCUAGAUGUCGAGUGCACCAUCUGUGGUGCAUGGGUGCGUAGCCAGUAAUCUGCUCUUGCACUGCAUUAAGAAUACCUUGGUGUCUGUCAGAUAUGACACCAACCUCGCGUCCAGGGCCUACGACAUGGAUGCGUACAAGCCGCAAGAACCAAGACCAACUAUCUCUGUUCUCCCUCUCCACCAAAGCAAAUGCCAAAGGAACCAGUGAGUUAUCUGCGUCGCAUGAUAUGGCAACCAACAAUGUGCCCUUAUACUUCCCAAGAAGAAAAGUACCAUCAAUAGAGAGCACGGGACGACAAUGCCUGAAGGCCUCUACGCACUGCGAGAAACACCAGAAAGCACGAUAAAAUAUCUCUUUGCCGUUCCUCCAUUCAUUAGGUUUAGGGAUGUACUCGUAAUGCAUGCCUGGGUUUUUUGCUUUCAUUGCAUUGAACAAUGCUGGUAACUUCUCGUAACCCUCCUCCCAAUCCCCGUAUAUCAUCUUCCAUGCUCGCUGCUUUGCCCUCCAUGCUUUCCCAUAUUUGAUCCUGUAACCAAACAACUCCGAAGUCAUGGUCAUAAUUGACUUCACCUUCAAGUUUGGCUGACCCUUCAAUAUCCCCAAUAUCCUUUUCGCAAUCAGGUUAGAUGUCAACUGACGAUGCUUAGAGCUCAGCUCUGUCUGGGCACAAGUGUGUGGACCUACAAUUUUGGUGAUCUUAAACUUUCCGGUGUCCUUCUGCCUUCGGGCACAUACCCUCCAAUUACAUUCUGGCACCUCGCACACAACAGUGUAACGACGCUGUGCAUACGAAUGUCUCACCUUGAACGGCCUCUUCCGGUUCACAGAAUAUUCCUGUAGCCAUCGUCUCAGUGUAGGCAGAUCCUUGAAAAGUAAGCCAACCUUAAUCUCAAUGCUGUCGGCGUUAUCCGGAGCCUCUAGCAGUUCAUCGUCACGUCCUUCAGCAUACGCACGGGUGGAUUGACUUAAACUGCUAAAUUCAUGUACUGCAGGGUCUCGCUCCGGACACAAACGUCUUAUGAGUGCAAUUUCUUGCUCGGUCAUUUCUUGAACCGGACGGUCAUCAUCAGAAUCUACGGCCCGUGCAGCCUCAUAUGGCUCCUCCUCAUCCUCAAUCUGAACAUCAACACUAUUGGAUGCCCUGCAUAUGUUGUCCAUAUUAUAUGACACAGGCACAUCAAUCUGAACAUCAGCAUUAUCGAUAUGUGGAGAUCCUGCAUCGGGUCGGAGCAAGAAAAACCACAUUAAAAAGUCUAAUCAAAUGAAAUAAUGAUGGAUACGAACAAUGUGUCGAAGACACUUACUAGGAUGAUCGUCAACUGGAUCCUGGGUCAAUGGGAUCUCUUGGGGGGUACCACCGCAUUAGAAGCCCCACAAAUCCCAUACUCGUGCGGACCCGAUUGAGCAUCGGGCACAACAACGACUUCUUCAUGAAGCUCUACCAAAGGAGCUUCAAUACGAGAUGCAUUUGGCAUUUGUGGAGACAACCCGACUGGACCUGCGCAAUGACUAACAGGUAACUUUUGAACAACCACAUCCAAACACGGUGGAACCAUCGUCUUCACAAUUCUUAAAUAUAUCACCCAAUCAUCUUCUGAGGUAAUGGAGAUCAACCGUCGGACAACUGUUCCAUAUGUAAUAUGGGACAACAAACCCUGAAUUGAUAUUCUAGGGUCGUUUAUGUCGCAACUAAUCUCCUCACAAGCUCGAGCCAAAAGCUGGUCAAAAGUUGGUCUUUCAACGAACAACAUGGUCACGAUCUUCAUACCAUCAAAAGUAACACUCCCAUAAGCAUCUAUCUCCACCCUUCCUCCAUGGUAUAGUGUUACUAGGCUGUCCAUCUAUUGCAAAAAUGGAUUACUAACUCAAUAAUGGCUACAUACUUAAGCCUACUAACUUACUAAGUAAUAUAUAUAUAUUAACUAAUAACCAUAUAGUAAAUAUUAAAUGAACACAUCAAACGAAAUUACAUAAUCUAUAAAUAAUGUACGAAAACUAUGUAUACCUGAGAACGCGUACGACUCCAGCUAACGGUGGAGAAGGUCAAGUCGGUCGGACGAACACCUACGUACAAAAAAAUUGUCAGUAAAAAAUUUGGCAGCACCUCCCCUGUAAAGUGAUGUUUAUAAAACCUGCGACUAAACGACAACACGAUGGUUGCCAACACAGAAAACAUGUAAUAUCAAUGCCCUAAACAAAAUGGUAGCUAUAUAAUCACUAAGAAUUUACUAAACACUAACAAUAUACUACGCAACAAACUAGCUAACUAUUUUAAUAAACACUAACAACAAAAUAGCUACUAUUUACUAAACAAUAAAUAAUUGGAUAGCUAACUAAUUACUAACCACUAACAAACCCUAACAGUUUACUAACUAAGAAAUUAAAAAAAUAAAAUUACCGGUGGCAGGCAGUGAGCGCGCGGCGGUCGGGGAAGGAGCUGCGGCGAGCAGGCAGCGCGGUGGUCGGGGACGGAGCUGCCGGGGCCCGAGCUCGGCGAGCAGGCUGCGCGGUGGCCGGGGAGCUAGGCGGCGGCCGGCCCAGGCGACGAAGGAGGACGGGGCGGGCGACCUCGGCUGUGCUUGCCGGAGCUCGCCGAGCGACCGCGGCUGUGCUCGCCGGAGCUCGCCGGGCGGAGAGGCCGGAGACUAGCGGCCGCGCCGCCGGUGAAGGGCGUGCGGGUGGCCGGAGAGAAGGCGACGGCGACGGGGCGGCGAGCGAAUUGCUAACGGCGGCGGUGGGCUCGGCGCGAAAACUGAAAAACAGACGAAACGGGCAGAGAGGAAGGCGUCGGGCGGAUAUUUCCUAGCUCGGCGCCAAGAUCUGUGGCGCCGAGCUAGGUGCCACGCGGGAUGACACGUCACGAAGCUCGGCGCCAUAGGCUGUGGCGCCGAGCUGUGUUAGCUCGGCGCCACGACCUAUGGCGCCGAGCAAAGGGUCCAAAACUGCAUUUAAAAUUUUUUUAGGUCUAAACGUGAAUUUACUUCAGUUUAGGGGCUAAAAUACAAAAAAUUCGGGCGCGACGCGUGCUGCCUCCGCCUAGCCGUCACGUUGGCGGCCCAGGCCAGGGCAAAACCAGCGUCGCCGUCACGCUGGCGGGCGUCCUGGCCUCGACUCUUCUGUCUGUCUCGGCAGUCGGCAGCCAGUCAGACACCACGCUCCCUCCGCUUGCGGCGCGCGAGCUUGGCCCGACGAGGCCACGGGGAAAAUGACGUGAGGGGCGCGAGCUUGGCCUGACUUCGGCGACACGCAUCAGAGUCUAAGCCCCCAAUCAUGGGAUAUGUUGCAGUGAUUCCCUUGGUAUCUUUGGCUCGUUGCUGUCGGAACCAGUUUUGCCUGGUGAAAUUUCCAAACUGGACAACAUUGACGCGUGGCUAGAAAAACGAAAGGUUCCUGCGUUUGGAAAUUACUAAAAAAAUGUCCGAUUUGUGUACACUGUACGGUAGAUAGCAGCAGCAUGAGGCAAGAUUACCAAAAGGAGAAGCUGGAUGUGUACGUGACUAUCUAUCGAUCCCCCCCCCCCCCCCCCCCCUCCCUCGUUUGGGCAUCGGCCAACAGGCGACGAGAGAUACGGCCCGGAGAGGAGAUGGAAACACAUGGAUGAUCGGAGAUAUGCUUGCGAUUAAUAAUCUGCUCGUGUGCUGAAAGAUCCAAGGUGGAAAUUCGCCAUAUGUCUCGUCUCUCCAUACUUGGCAUUGGUCACAAAUCAUUCUUAAAUGCAUAUAUGGGCUGAGAUGAAAAUGAUCUGAAAAUAAAUUGUUUUUGGUUUGACCUUUUUUUUUAAAAAAGGAUAAGCUGGAAAUGAUGGUGGUAUUGGUAUCGUUUAAAAAAAAUCCAAAACGAACCUACUGGUCAAAGACACUGUGGGUAUGUUUGGAUGUGCGGUGUGCCCAAAGGCCAAAGCUACCCGUGGCCAUGCCUUGACCGACCAGAUUUUGGCUGCCACGGAACGGCCAAGUUUUGUCAGGUUAAAAUACUGGGCACGUGUCUUUGCCCGGUCAAUAAUCGGCUUCCAUCUAAACAUACGCGCUGACAAUGGUCAACGACCUUUUUUUCUGGUUCGGCGGAAGCAAUCCAAAGACGGCCUGUACUACCCACCAUAUAAGACGCCUACAUGUACCAAAUUUUAGUGAUUAAUAAUCUAGCCAAUAACUUUUAACUACUACAAAAAUUAAUAAUAGUAGACUCAGGUUUUGGAUGGACCGGUACAACACCGUUUUUGUUUUUCUGGGUUUAAGAAUUUGUGGACCCAAGUGACGCAGAACGCCAAGCUCGAAAACCGUGGAUAAUACAUUUUACUCAAAUUUGAACAUAUCUUGAUGAUCUAUGUCUAUAAUUAUGUUUUGUAGCCUACUAAAUAAUUUGUGUCUAAUUUUUUUCGGCUUCAUUUUUUAAGUGUAUAUUUGUAUACAUAGUAUAGUGUAUGCGCGCACAAGAUCAAGGUUAUUUUCAACACAAGAAAAAAAACGAGACAUUUAUUAAGAAAGUGUUUAAUUAUAUUGUAUUACUCUAUAUCUUGGGUGUGUGUUUAUUUUAUGCUUGAAGAACCGUGAAAUGGGUUCUAGAUCGUACAUACGCUAACAUGAUGGGCUGCUUUGACGAAUCCAGAAUGCCCUGUCGAGACCUGAUUUGCCUCGGAAAUGUGGACACUACAUACCAGAGAAAGCAGAUACGCAAGUACUCAUAAUGCCCAGCGAGUAUUAUUACUAUUGUGUUCAUGAGUGAUUAUCAUUAUCAGAUAUUCAGGUGGAUUGCCGGCUAAGAACCCGAUGAGCUUCGCUCCCUGUCCCACCUGAUGGCCUUCACUAGUCCUUGGCGAGCACUCCAAAUUUUACAAUGUUUGGUUUGAAGAAUCAAUCAAUUCUAAUAAAGUGGUACAUUAUGAGUUCAUUAUAUAAAUUUAGUGUAAUAAACUUAUUCCUCAUGUUAUUACUAAUUAUCAAUUUAUAAGGAAUAAACUGAUAGUGGAUCAAAUCAUUUCAUUCUAAAAACCAAACAAAAAGAUAAGAAAUGAGAAAAUAAUGGACUAUCUCAUUACUCAAACCAUGCACGCUAUUGAAGUGUCACUUCGCGCAGAGAUGGGGUUCACGUCGAUAGGCACGCACGCAGCAGGCCACGGUACAGGCCAGGCACGGGCGCCCUGUUGCAGCGGCGUGCGCAUGAUCUGAAUCUGAACACGUGAUCCAGGGGGAGGGCGUCCGUGGAUCUUCCUCUGUGUUCCAACGACACGAGCCGCGAGGGAGGUGGAAUUAUCAGGCCAGGUGCAUGUCCACAUGAAAUGGCGUGAUGAAUCCGUACGCUCGCUCGUUGCUCCCUGGCUUCUAGAUGCCUCUCCCAGUCCCAGGUCAAAUCUCCAAGCAACAAAAACGAAAGCCCUCUCGACCAUAUGAUCGUCCGGCCCAUCAUACUGGGCCCAACAACAUAAACGACCACGGCAACACGACCGUUUGGGCUUUGCUAACUACCGAAAACAAUCACGAACCCUCGGCAAAAACACUUUACUUGUUUCCAAAACUACAUUAUAAUUCGAGACUGAACUGAGAUUAUGAACAGAAGCACCGGUCAGGAAAACCGAUACCGGAAGUAAUAUAAUAGUAGGAAAAUGAUACAAUCCAUUAGAAAUAAUUGGUAGCAGUCCGGUCGUAAAUUUAAAUCGGAAACAUCGACCCAUGUAAUGUAACCGCUUCAAACGAUCGACUUGAUGUAACGAAUAAAAUUAUGUCUGCAUAGCUAGUAAACAGGCCGCCAUUAAACUUUUAGCAUGAAUCAGGAUCACAACAUGAGCAUUCAGCACAUACAAUAUAUCAUAUAUGACGUAUUGACAUUUUAGUAUAUCACUCGGCACGACAAAAACACCAAACACCCAAACCAUAAGCAAAAUAACAAUAUCAAACAAUAUAAGUGUAUAACAGGAUGCAGGGGCGAAGCUAUGUUGUGCACUGUGGAUGUAUAUGUACCCCCUAAAAAUCCAAAAAACAGUGGUAACAGUCAAAUUUACACCAUAUAUGCAUCACCCAAAUUUUAUUCCUAUGCACCCACAAGAGACGUGCACCCCCUUAUAUUUUGCUCUAGCUUCGCCACUGACAGGAUGUAGUUCAUAAUUAAGUUUAUAGAACAUCAUAGUAUGGUAUAGUUCAUAGUUUUGUAGCUGAAAGGAUUAACCAUUAAAACAAGCAGGCAACGACACAACAAUCGACAUGGCCAUAUUUCAUAGAAGUCCAAAUCAUUUGCAUGAGGCCUCAACAGUCCAACACCACCUCGUCAAUCACCAGCAUUCUCUCCACUCGUCCGUCCUGCAAAUUAUCAACAUAAAUCACUGUUUCUAAGACAUGAGGUGCAUUAUUUGUAAAUACGAUAAGAAUAAGCUAACUAAACAGUAGUUCAUCGAGUUGAAUAAGAACGUAUUAACUAGCUGUCUUGUACAAUAAUAUAAGGAACUUAAAUAGCUCCGCUUAAUUAGCAAAACUUAAUGGCAAUAGAUAAAAGUAAACAGGAAUGAAAAAAAAUUGAUGGUCUCAUAUAGUUAUAUAUACCUCCACUUUUAGUUUUGAAGCAAGGGCAUCUAUCGCAUCAAGAUCACACAUAGUUGAAUCGGUUCUUAUCUGAAAAUUAAAAAUCAAGAGUAUAAUCAAUAAAACGAAUUAUUACAAAAUUACUAUUAUGUCAGUUGCACGGUCAGCUCUGACAUGUAUCGGACAUAUUUGGUGCUAUGUUCGAUGUACACAUGGGAUACAUAUAAGAUGUUAACGGAUAGUUUUUAGCCAUUAAACUACAACCAUUAGGAGGCAUCAGACGAUUUAGAUGUAUGAACUGGUGGUGUACCAGACAUAUCUGGUACCCUUGAUUUCAGCCUUUCAAGAUGUAAUAGUUGGAUUUUAAUGUGGGUUUAUAAAUUUACCCCCAUGACUAGCCCUAGAUAGCAUUCUUGCACUCCAAAAACUUGUGAACUCCUCUUGAGUCUGGAGAUACACUGUCCACUCACUUGCAUCUUAUAUAUCAUCUUUUGGUUAAGAUUGAAGAGUUUCUAGUGUAUCACAUAUAGUUGUUGCAUCUUGUGACACUAGUUGAGCGACUUGGACAUGUUAUACUCUUGUUACUCUUUGUGAUUAGCAUCACCUAGAUGACCCAAAGUUUGUGGGAUCAUUAAGCAUCUAUUAGAGAUUAUUGGUAGCUUCGAUAUCAAUUAUAAGGGGAUCUUAUGCUCAUUCCUCGUGGAAGAACCAUAAAGAGCAAUUUUAGUGAAAUCAUGGAUUGUUGGAGUGUCUCUCUAGUGUGGUUCUUACAACAUUCUAAUUUUAGGCUUGGUGUGCGAUGUUAAUUAGCAAGUGUAGGUUGCCAGCAAGCAACCAAACCUCGAGGACAUCUUGCAUUCUUUUGUUAUUUGUUGUCCUGUUUGGUUUACUCCAUAUACUUACUAUUGUAGUUACAUUUAUUUACUUGUUGUAUGGUAUUUGCUCAACUAGCCUUGUGUGGAUUGUAACUAGUAACAAUUGAAUUCGUCUAAUAUCUCUUGCUAUGUAAGUAGUUGCAUCUAUUAAUAUAAACUAAAGACCAUGCGACUAGAAUUGUUUAGUGGUUUGUAUACGACGGGAUACAAAAACAGUGCUACUACAAAAAUAGAUGUUUAAAAGCUAUGUUUAUAUUAAUCAAACCUUGCUCUAGUGGCUUGUGAGUUUAUAGUAUGAUUUUUAUUGGCUAUUCACCCCUUAACAUAUCUAAGUUCUAUCACCUAUAUGCAUCUGGGGCCAAACCCAUGGCGGUUAUGCCCUAAGGCCAUAUGAGCCUAGGGCAUUACACCGGAGUCCCUGGCAUUCCCCAAGACGCCCUUGGGUGGUAUGUGAAAGUCGCCUAGAGGGGGGUGAAUAGGCGGAAUCUGAAAAUUAUAAACUUAAGCACAACUACAAGCCGGGGUUAGCGUUAGAAAUAUAGACGAGUCCGAAAGAGAGGGCGAAAACAAAUCACAAGCAAAUAAAGAGUGUGACGCGGUGAUUUGUUUUACCGAGGUUCGGUUCUUGCAAACCUACUCCCCGUUGAGGUGGUCACAAAGACCGGGUCUCUUUCAACCCUUUCCCUCUCUCAAAUGGUCACCUAGACCGAGUGAGCUUCUCUUCUCAAUCAAUCGGGACACUAAGUCCCCACAAGGACCACCACACAAUUGGUGUCUCUUGUCUUAAUUACAAUUGAGUUGGGAAUAAGAAAGAAAGAAGAAGAAAAGCGAUCCAAGCGCAAGAACUCAAGUGAACACAAAUGUCUCUCUCACUAGUCACUAUUUGAUUGGAAUGAUCUUUGGACUUGGGAGAGGAUUUGAUCUCUUGUUUGUGUCUUGUAGUGAAGUCUAGAGCUCUUGUAUUGAAUGCAAUGGCUGAAAACUUGGAUGCAUUCAAGUGUUGGUGGUUGGGGGUAUUUAUAGCCCCAACCACCAAAGUGGCCAUUGGGGAUGGCUGCAGUCGUAUGGCGCACUGGACAGUCCUGUGCGCUAGCCACAUCACCCAACCGUUAGGGUUCGACCGUUGGAGCUCUGACAAGUGGGGCCACCGGACAGUCACUGUUCACUGUCUGGUGCGCCUUCUGACGCCUGCUCUGACUUCUGCGCGCGCAGGCGCACACUAUAGUGUUUCACUGUUCCUUUGCAGACGACCGUUGGCGCGAAGUAGCCAUUGCUCCGCUGGCACACCGAACAGUCCGGUGUUGAGAGCACCUAGAGGGGGGUGAAUAGGUGAUCCUGUAAAAAUCAAAUACUUGUAGCCACAAAACUUGGUUAAGUGUUAGCUCAAUAGAAUCAAGUGGCUAAGGACCAAGCUCUUGUGAAACACAAUGGUCACGAAGAAGAAAAGCACAAGAGACAAUGAUUUAUCCCAUGGUUCGGCCAAGUAUAACACUUGCCUACUCCACGUUGUGGCGUCCCAAUGGACGAGGGUUGCACUCAACCCCUUUCAAGUGAUCCAAUGAUCAACUUGAAUACCACUGUGUUUUCCUUUCUUUUACUAUCUCCCGUUCGCGAGGAAUCUCCACAACUUGGAUCCUCUCGCCCUUACAAUUGAUGAUCACAAAGAAGCACGGAAGUAAGGGAGGGGAGAGCAACACACACAAGACUCAAAGCACGAGCACAAACACGCACACAACCACUAUCACAAAGAAUCAAAUGCGCGAGAAUGGAGACUUGGUGCUUAGAGAUGAUCAAAGAAUGCUUGGGUUACUCCUCCAUGCGCCUAGGGGUCCCUUUUAUAGCCCCAAGGCAGCUAGGAGCCGUUGGAGGCAAUCUGGGAAGACAAUUCUUGCCUUCUGUCGGAUGGCGUACCGGACCCGGUGCACCACCGGACAGGCACUGUUCAUUGUCCGGUGCAGAUUGCCUUCCUAAAAUAGCAUAGCCGACCGUUGCAGAAUUGUAGUCGUUGGCGCACCAGACACUGUCCGGUGCCUCCUGCCGACCGUUGGAGCGGGCCACGCGUCGCCCGCGGAUUUGGCGGCCGACCGUUGCGCUCGCGGCCGUUGGCUCACCGGACAGUCCGGUGCACCACCGGAUAGUCCGGUGAAUUAUAGUCGUACGCCGCCGCCGAAUUCCCAAGAGUGGCCAGUUCACCAGAAGCCACCAUGGCGCACCAGACACUGUCCGGUGCACCACCGGACACUGUCCGAUGCACCAUCGGACAGUCCGGUGUGCCAGACUGAGCUGAGUCUUGGCUGCUUCGAGCCAAGUUCUUUUCUUCUUCUCUUUUCUCUGAUUCCAGCACUUAGACAAAUAUAUUAGUACACAAAAACCAAUGUACUAAGUCUAGAAUCAUACCUUCUUGUUGAUUUGCACUUCAUCCAUCAUUUGGCACAUAAUUACUCACUCAAUAUGUGUUGGGCACUUAAUCACCAAAACACUUUAGAAAUGGCCCAAGGGCACAUUUCCCUUUCAAUCUCCCCCUUUUUGGUGAUUUAUGCCAACACAUGAAAAAGCAACUAAAAGAAGUGCAACAUCAAAGCAAUUGAGAACAAGAAAUGUUUUUAUUCAAAUUUGGCAUAUUUGGAUCAUUCUUUGCCACCACUUGGUUUAUUUUUGAAAUCGAACUCAUUUUCCUAUCUCUAAGUCAAACACACUUGUUUAGGCAUAAAGAGAGGUAUUCCACGAGAAAAAUUGAUCAAGAGCCAAAAACUCCCCCUUUUCCCAUAAUCCUACAUUCUCCCCACAAGAGGCCAAAUUUUGCACAUAAGAGAAUUUUGACAAAUCAAAAGUGCUAACUCUACUAUUUUCAAAAUUCUCAAGUGGUAGUUGAUCCAUUUGCUUUGGCCUUUAAUUUCUCCCCCUUUGGCAUUAAGCACCAAAACGGGAUCAUUCUUGGCCCUUAAACCCCAUUGCCUCACCAAAAUCGUCAAUUAAGAGUAAAAAGGCAAUAAGAGCAUGGAGAUGAACUUGGAGUAAAUUACCCUCUCAUCGGAGUGCAGUGGAAGUCUUGCAUGGUCCAAGUUCACCUUUCCCUUUCAAUCCACCUUUGAGACUAAAUUAAGUAAACUCAAGCACACGGUUAGUCUCAAAGGGUCAAGUUGUAGCAUUUCUCCCCCUAAAUAUGUGCAUCAUUCACACAUGGACUUGUGAGGUCCAGGGAUCCCUUGCACAACUUGAGCACCAUAAAUAAGCAAUAAUAUGCAUAAAGGAACAUGAUCAAGGGCAUAAAACACAUGUAUGCUAUAGAUCAAUCCAAGUUACGCGAAUCUAGGACAUUUAGCUCACUACGCAGCCUGCAAAAGGUCUUCUCAUCUAAAGGCUUGGUAAAGAUAUCGGCUAGCUAGUUCUCGGUGCUAACAUAAAACACUUCGAUAUCUCCCUUUUGCUGGUGGUCUCUUAAAAAGUGAUGCCAGAUGUCUAUGUGCUUUAUGCGGCUGUGUUCAACAGGAUUGUUUGCCAUGCGGAUUGCACUCUCAUUGUCACAUAGGAGUGGGACUUUGCUCAGAUUGUAGCCAAAGUCCCGGAGGGUUUGCCUCAUCCAAAGUAGUUGCACGCAACACUGUCCUGUGGCAACAUACUCGGCCUUAGCGGUGGAUAGGGCAACGAAAGUUAGUUUCUUUGAGCUCCAAGACACCAGGGACCUUCCUAGGAAUUGGCACGUCCCUGAUGUACUCUUCCUAUCAACCUUGCACCCGGCAUAAUCGGGGUCUGAAUAUCCAAUUAAGUCAAAGGUAGACCUCUUUGGAUACCAGAUCCCGAAGCAAGGCGUAGCAACUAAAUAUCUAAGAAUCCGCUUAACGGCUACAAGGUGACAUUCCCUUGGGUCGGAUUGAUAUCUAGCACACAUGCAAACGCUAAGCAUAAUAUUCAGUCUACUAGCACAUAAGUAAAGCAAGGAACCUAUCAUAGACCGGUAUGCCUUUUGAUCAACACACUUACCUCCUUUGUUGAGGUCGACAUGUCCGUCGGUUCCCAUUGGAGUCUUUGUGGGCUUGGCGUCCUUCAUCCCGAACCGCUUGAGCAAGUCUUGCGUGUACUUUGUUUGGGAGAUGAAGGUGCCGUCCUUGAGUUGCUUCACUUGGAACCCAAGGAAGUAGUUCAACUCACCCAUCAUCGACAUCUCGAAUUUCUGUGUCAUCACCCUGCUAAACUCUUCACAAGACUUUUGGUUAGUAGAACCAAAUAUUAUGUCAUCGACAUAAAUUUGGCACACAAAGAGGUCACCAUCACAAGUCUUAGUGAAAAGAGUUGGAUCGGCUUUCCCAACCUUGAAAGCAUUAGCAAUUAGAAAAUCUCUAAGGCAUUCAUACCAUGCUCUUGGGGCUUGCUUAAGUCCAUAGAGCGCCUUAGAGAGCUUACACACGUGGUCGGGGUACCGUUCAUCCUCAAAGCCAGGGGGUUGCUCCACGUACACCUCCUCCUUGAUUGGCCCAUUGAGAAAAGCGCUCUUCACAUCCAUUUGGAACAACCUGAAAGAAUGGUGAGCGGCAUAGGCUAACAAAAUGCGAAUAGACUCUAGCCUAGCCACAGGACCAAAAGUCUCCUCAAAGUCCAAACCUGCGACUUGGGCAUAACCUUUUGCCACAAGUCGAGCCUUGUUCCUUGUCACCAACCCGUGCUCGUCCUGUUUGUUGCGGAACACCCACUUGGUUCCCACAAUGUUUUGCUUGGGACGUGGCACCAGGGUCCAAACUUCAUUUCGCUUGAAGUUGUUGAGCUCUUCCUGCAUGGCCAACACCCAGUCCGGAUCUAGCAAGGCCUCUUCUACCCUGAAAGGCUUAAUAGAAGAGACAAACGAGUAAUGCUCACAUAAAUUAGCUAGACGUGAGCGAGUUGUUACUCCCUUGCUUAUAUCACCCAAAAUCUGGUCGACGGGAUGAUUCCUUUGAACCGUCGCUCGAACUUGAGUUGGAGGGGUCCGUGGUGCUUCUUCCUCCACAACUUGAUCCUCUUGUGCUCCCCCUUGAUCACACGCCUCCUCUUGAGGAACCUGUUCAUCAUCUUGAGUUGGGGGGUGCACCAAUGUUGAGGAAGAAGGUUGAUCUUGCACUUGGUGCUCCUGUGGUCGCACAUCUCCAAUCGCCAUGGUGCAAAUUGCGUCCGUUGGAACAUCAUCUUCAUCUAUAUCAUCAAGAUCAACUUGCUCUCUUGGAGAGCCAUUAGUUUCAUCAAAUACAACGUCGCUAGAGACUUCAACCAAACCCGAUGAUUUGUUGAAGACUCUAUAUGCCUUUGUAUUUGAGUCAUAACCUAGCAAAAACCCUUCUGCAGCUUUGGGAGCAAAUUUGGAAUUCCUACCUUUCUUUACUAGAAUGUAACAUUUACUCUCAAAUACACGAAAAUAAGACACGUUGGGCUUGUUACCGGUUAGAAGUUCAUACGACGUCUUCUUGAGGAGGCGAUGAAGGUAGACCCGGUUUAUGGCGUGGCAAGCCGUGUUCACAGCUUCCGACCAAAACCGCUCGGGCGUCUUGAAUUCUCCAAGCAUCGUCCUUGCCAUGUCUAUCAGCGUCCUGUUCUUCCUUUCUACCACACCGUUUUGCUGUGGUGUGUAGGGCGCGGAGAACUCGUGCUUGAUUCCUUCCUCCUCAAGGUACUCCUCCACUUGAAGGUUCUUGAACUCGGACCCGUUGUCGCUUUUAAUCUUUUUCACUUUGAGUUCAAAUUCGUUUUGAGCUCGCCUUAGAAAGCGCUUGAGGGUCCCUUGGGUUUCUGAUUUAUCCUGCAAAAAGAAUACCCAAGUGAAGCGGGAAAAAUCAUCAACAACAACAAGACCAUACUUACUUCCUCCUAUGCUGAGGUAGGCGACGGGUCCGAAGAGGUCCAUGUGAAGUAGCUCCAAAGGUCUUGAUGUGGUCAUCACAUUCUUGCUGUGAUGAGCGCUUCCCACCUGUUUGCCUGCUUGACAAGCUGCACAAGGUCUAUCUUUUUCGAAAAACAUAUUUGUUAGACCUAACACAUGUUCUCCCUUUAGAAGUUUGUGAAGGUUCUUCAUCCCAACAUGUGCUAGACGGCGAUGCCACAGCCAGCCCAUGCUAGUCUUAGCAAUUAAGCAUGCAUCUAGAUCGGCCUCCUCUUUCGAAAAAUCCACUAAAUAGAGUUUGCCAUCUAGUACACCCUUAAAAGCUAGUGAACCAUCACUCCUUCUAAAGACAGACACAUCUACAUUUGUAAAUAGACAAUUAUAACCCAUAUGGCACAAUUGACUAACAUACAUCAGAUUAUAGUCUAGCGACUCUACUAGAAAUACAUUAGAGAUAAAGUGCUCAUUAGUGAUGGCUAUCUUGCCUAAGCCUUUGACCUUGCCUUGAUUCCCAUCUCCAAAUAUGAUUGUAUCUUGGGAAUCCUUGUUCUUGACGUAGGAGGUGAACAUCUUCUUCUCCCCUGCCAUGUGGUUUGUGCAUCCGCUGUCGAUAAUCUAACUUGAGCCCCCGGAUGCAUAAACCUGCAAGGCAAAUUAGACUUGGGUUUUAGGUACCCAACUCUUGUUGGGUCCUACAAGGUUAGUUAUAAUAGUAUUUGGGACCCAAAUGCAAGUCUUGUCUCCCUUGCACUUGGCCCCCAACUUCCUAGCAAUUACUUUCUUAUUCUUACAACAAAUUGCAAAAGAAGUAUUGCAAUCAUGGUAAAUUGUAGAAGGUUCAUUACAUACUUUCCUAGGCACAUGAGCAACAUUUUUCCUAGGCAUAUUUCUACCAUGCACAAAAGAAGAACUUGAAGCAAUCAUAGCAUGUGAAUCAUAAGCAUAAUUCCUAUGAGCAUUUCUAGAAAAUUGUCUAUCACUAUAGAUGAAAGCAUGAUUCCUUUGAGCACUAUUAGCCAUAGGGGCAUUCCCUUUCUCCUUGGCGGAAAUGGGAGCCCUUUGACUUGUUAAGUUCUUGGCUUCCUUUCUAAAGCCAAGCCCAUCCUUAAUAGAGGGGUGUCUACCAAUAGUGUAGGCAUCCCUUGCAAAUUUUAGUUUAUCAAAAUCCACCUUGCAAGUAUUAAGUUGAGCAUUAAGACUUGCAACUUCAUCAUUUAAUUUAGUAAUGGAUGCCAGAUGUUCAUUACAAGCAUUAACAUCAAAAUCCUUGCAUCUAUUAUAAAUUACGACAUGUUCCACAUAUGAACUAGACUUAUUAGCUACUUCUAACUUAGCAUUUAACUCAUCAUUAACAUUCUUCAAACUAGAAAUAGACUCAUGGCAAGCAGAAAUUUCAGAAGAUAAAAUCUCAUUCCUUUUAGUUUCUAAAGCAAGAGAUUUUUGUACACUAAUAAACUUAUCAUGUUCUUCAUACAAUAUAUCCUCUUGCUUUUCUAAGAGUCUAUUCUUUUCAUUUAAAGCAUCAAUCAAUUCAUUGAUCUUUUCUACCUUGGCUCUAUCUAAACCUUUAAAUAAGCUAGAAUAGUCUACUUCAUCAUCACUAGAAUCUUCAUCGCUAGAAGUAGUAUAUUUAGGAGUUUCUCGAAUGCUUACCUUUUUCUCCUUUGCCAUUAGGCAAGUAUGGCGCUCGUUGGGGAAGAGAGACGACUUGUUGAAGGCCGAGGCGGCGAGUCCUUCGUCGUCGGAGUCGGAUGAAUAGCAAUCCGAAUCCCACUCUUUGCCAAGGUGCACCUCGCCCUUCGCCUUCUUGUAGGACUUCUUUUUCUCCCUCUUCCUGCUCUUUUCUUGUCCCUGGUCACUAUCAUUAUCGGGACAGUUAGCAAUAAAGUGACCAGUGUGGCAGAACCUCCUAAGUUAUUAGGACCACAUGCACAUGUCCUUGCCUCAAAGACCUCAGACGGCUAUGCAUGUGCACCAGAUAACUUAAUAGGAUCUGUUCGAGUGCCCCAAGGACCUCGGAUAAACCACUUACAACCCGAACCGCGGGAUUAAGUAAACACAAAUCACACACCCAAAAAUUUUGCAGCGGAAAUCUUAUUACCAAAAUUUACAAGUUACAUCAAGUUUACUUUAUGUUUAUCAGAGUGAUUACAAAAGUAUAAGUUUGAAAUAUAUGCUAGCUCAAGUGACCAUCCUCAAUAAGAAGUAUAGAAGACGUACUUAGACUUAUAAGAAGGCCGAGCCCACGAGCACUUAACACCAUCAUCAGCAGCACAAAACUACAACCUGAAAAACAACAGGGAAUAAAACCCUCAGUAUGGAAUUACUCAGCAAGACUUACCCGACUAAAGAAAAGACUCUCAAAGGUAUGCUGGGUGAAUAGGCAUCAAGGAAAAGGCUUUAGCAAGAAUCAACUUAGAUACUUUUGCAGAAAUAGCUUACUAAAGUUAGUCCUUACUUUCAAUAUUUUAACGCCAGAUUAAAUAUUAAUAGGCUCUGAUUGCAUCUAGUCUAAUUUCACCAUCUCAUCAAUGCAACAACAUUUUUAUUCAUAUGUUUACAUCCUGACUUGGGUUGUAGGUCGGAGAUCAAGUCUCCACUCUCCGAGGAUAUAACGGCGAUCCGAAUCGAUUUACUCAGCUGAGGAUCUCUAACCACACGACAUAUGUAGCACUUAACCCUUGCAUAAGUCAACCGUUCCCACAGAUCCUCCACAACGUGAACCGGUCCGCGCUACCCGGGAGCAUAGUACUCCUCCAUCCAGCCUCUAACCAGGAGGGUACACGCUACUCCCACCAUCUCCCAUGCCCAGUGCGUGGUUGUCUUUUCACGUAUGGAAUAGCCGGGUUCAAGCUUACCAUGUCCCAUAUCCAGGGCAUGUGGCCAGUUAAGAUAGUCCCUGAUCAUACAGGCCUACAUACGCAUCCAAUCCUUAAUUAACCCGGACGAAACAUCACCUGUUCCUAGCCCAAGUCCCGAUUUAAGUACUUCCACCCUUAGGAUUGUUUGUGUUCCUUCUUCUUGUUGCGGGACUCUCCCGAUGGAGCCUUCUCAUGGUUUGUGGCAGGCUUCUCGCCGGUCACCAUCUCCUUCUUGGCGUGUUUUCCCGACAUCACUUCGAGCAGUUAGGCUCUAAUGAAGCACCAGGCUCUGAUACCAAUUGAAAGUCGCCUAGAGAGGGGGUGAAUAGGCGACUUCUGAAAAUUAUAAACUUAAGCACAACUACAAGCCGGGGUUAGCGUUAGAAAUAUAGACGAGUCCGAAAGAGAGGGCAAAAACAAAUCACAAGCAAAUAAAGAGUGUGACGCGCUUGUUGGGGACCAUAAUUAGGGGUACCCUCAAGACUCCUAAUUCUCAGCUGGUAACCCGCAUCAGCAUAAAGCUGCUAAGGCCUGAUGGGUGCGAUUAAGUCAGGGAUCAGUCCAUUCGAGCGACUCGAUCACGCCUCGCCCGAGCCUAGCCUCGGACAAGGGCAGCCGACCCCGGAGGAUUUCCGUCUCGCCCGAGGCCCCCCUCCGACGGCGGACAUAUUUCCGGCUUGCCCGAGGCCCUGCCUUCGCUAAGAAGCAACCCUGACUAAAUCGCCGCACCGACCGACCAAGUCGCAGGAGCAUUUAAUGCAAAGGUGACCUGACACCUUUAUCCUGACGCGCGCCCCCCGGCAGAACCGAAGUGACCGCCGUCACUUCACCGCUCCACUGACCGGCCUGACAGAAGGAUAGCGCUGCCUGCGCCACUCCGACCGCAGUGCCGCUUGGCAGAGUGAGACUGACAGGCAGUCAGGCCCUGUCAAAGGCACCAUAGGAAGCUCCGCUCGACCCAGGGCUCGGACUCGGGCUAAGCCCCGGAAGACGGCGAACUCUGCUCCGCCCGACCCAGGGCUCGGACUCAGGCUAAGCCCCGGAAGACGGCGAACUCCGCUCCGCCCGACCCAGGGCUCGGACUCGGGCUAAGCCCCGGAAGACGGCGAACUCCGCUCCGCCCGACCCAGGGCUCGGACUCGGGCUAAGUCCCGGAAGACGGCGAACUCUGCUCCGCCCGACUCAGGGCUCGGACUCGGGCUAAGUCCCGGAAGACGACGAACUCCGCUUCGCCCGACCCCAGGGCUCGGACUCGGGCUCAGCCACAGAAGACGACGAACUCCGCUCCGCCUGACCCCAGGGCUCGGACUCCGCCCUGGCCUCUGCCGAGCGACCUCCGCCUCGCCCGACCCAGGGGCUCGGACUCGGCCUCGGCCAUAGAAGACAGACUCGACCUCGGCUUCGGAGGAGCCUCCACGUCGCCCAACCUAGGGCGCAGGCCAGCCACGUCAACAGGAAGCGCCAUCAUCACCCUACCCCGAGCUGACUCGGGCCGCAGAGAACAAGACCGGUGUCCCAUCUGGCUAGCUCCGCCGGAUAGGCAAUGAUGGCGCCCCGCAUGCUCUGUGACGACGACGGCUCUCAGCUCUCUUACGGAAGCAGGAGGACGUCAGCAAGGACUCAACCGCCCCGACAGCUGUCCCUCCGCCAGGCUCCGUCGCUCCUCCGACGGCCACGACAUCACACCAGCUGGGUGCCAAAAUCUCUCUGGUUGCCACAUCGGCAUGUACUUAGGGCGCUAGCUCUCCCCCGCUAGACACGUAGCACUCUGCUACACCCCCAUUGUACACCUGGAUCCUGUCCUUACGCCUAUAAAAGGAAGGACCAGGGCCCUCUUAGAGAAGGUUGGCCGCGCGAGGACGAGGACGGGACAGGCGCUCUCUUGGGGCCGCUCGCUUCCCUCUCCCGCGUGGACGCUUGUAACCCCCUACUGCAAGCGCACCCGACCUGGGCGCGGGACGAACACGAAGGUCGCGGGAUUUCCACCUCUCUCACGCCCAUCUCCGGCCACCUCACUUCCCCCCUUCGCGCUCGGCCUCGCGUCGACCCAUCUGAGCUGGGGCACGUGGCGACAUUCACUCGUCGGCUUAGGGACCCCCCGGUCUCGAAACGCCGACAGUUGGCGCGCCAGGUAGGGGCCUGCUGCGUGUUGACGAACAGCUUCCUGUCAAGCUCCAGAUGGGCAGUCUCCAGCAACCUCUCCAACCCGGGACGGUGCUCCGUUUCGGGAGUCUUGAGUUCAUGUCCUUCGACGGCAGCUACGACAUGAUACUCCUUCCACCGCCGCGCGAUGACGACAAUGGCGGCCGACAGCCCGCCCGCCGGUGGCGUAAUCGACGACGUCUUCCCCGCGUGGUGGAAGAACAACAUUCGAGCUCGCCUCGUCCUCUCCCCCGCCAACGGAGGAGGAGGUGGGGCAACCAAGGCCAAGCGGGAGGCCGCGCCUCGUCGGCUGUCGAGCGAAUCGACGUCCCUAGCGCUCCAACGGGGGGCGCGUCGGGCGACGACCUCGCGUUUGAGAUGAAGGCGAGCGCCGUCUCCCCGCAACACGCCAAUCCCGAGCAAGCGGACGACACCAGCACGCUCGCGGAAGGCUUGCUGGGCGUCACCCUCGUACCUGAGAUGACGGUGCAGUCAGUCCCCGACGCGACUUCAUCGCCGUUCGUCGACCAAAAGGUACCGACCGAUUCCCAUCCUACGUCAUUUAGAUUCAGCCUCAACCCGCCUAGCAACCUUGCUUUGGCGGGCACUCUCGUAGAGGCGAAUUCAAACCCUCUGGGGUUUCGCACGCGGUCGCCUUGGGACCGGCUGACGGACGUCUCGACCUAUGGGCCCUCCGGGUCCGAGGAAGACGACGACCCCAGCAUCUGUUGGGAUUUCUCUGGACUUGGCAACCCUAGUGCCAUGCGGGACUUCAUGACCGCAUGUGACUACUGCCUCUCUGACUGUUCCGACGGUAGCCGCAACCUCGACAACGAGGACUGUGUCCCAAGCCGCGAAUGUUUCCACGUCGAUCUAGGGGGUCCCUCCGAAGGCAAUCAUCUCGGCAUGCCGGAGGAUGGUGAUCUCCCUAGGUCGGUGCCCCGCGCUGACAUCCUGCGGGAGCUAGCUGUGGUCCCCGUUCCGGCGGGGGGUCACGACCCACAGCUCGAGCAAGUCCGCGGGGCGCAGGCCAGGCUCGACGAGGGAGCAGGAGCGCUUGAGCCGAUCCGCCGGGACGACGGGCAGGCAUGGGUGGGCCAACCCCCGGCCGGAGAAAUACGUCACCUGCCCCAGGGUCUCCCGCUCCGCGUCGCCAACGGCGUCAGGGUCAGGCCGCCACCCGCAUCCAGUGGGGUCGGUCAGAACCUGGCUGCAGCAGCGAUGCUUCUCCGUGCAAUGCCGGAGCCAUCAACCACCGAGGGUCGGCGAAUCCAAGGAGAGCUCAAGAAUCUCCUGGAAGGCGUUGCGGUCCGACGGGCCGAGAGCUCUGCCUCCCGAAGGCAAGGAUACCCCUCGGAACCUCAUGCCGCGACUUCCCGAUUCAUGCGGGAAGCCUCGGUCUACACCGGGCGCAUGCGCAACACCGCGCCUGCGGCCCCGGGCCACCUCGGCAACAAGCACCAUCAUCGCGACCGUCGGGCCCACCUCGACGAGAGGGUGCGCCGAGGCUAUCACCCCAGGCGUGGGGGACGCUACGACAGCGGGGAGGAUCGGAGUCCCUCGCCCGAACCACCCGGUCCGCAGACCUUCAGCCGGGCCAUCCGGCGGGCACCGUUCCCGACCCGGUUCCGACCCCCGACUACUAUCACAAAGUACUCGGGGGGAAACGAGACCGGAAUUGUGGCUCGCGGACUACCGCCUGGCCUGCCAGCUGGGUGGAACGGACGACGACAACCUCAUCAUCCGCAACCUCCCCCUGUUCCUCUCCGACACCGCUCGCGCCUGGUUGGAGCACCUGCCUCCGGGGCAGAUCUCCAACUGGGAUGACUUGGUCCAAGCCUUCGCCGGCAAUUUCCAGGGCAUAUAUGUGCGCCCCGGGAAUUCCUGGGACCUCCGAAGCUGCCGACAGCAGCCGGGAGAGUCUCUCCGGGACUACAUCCGGCGAUUCUCGAAGCAGCGCACCGAGCUGCCCAACAUCACCAACUCAGAUGUCAUCGGCGCGUUCCUUGCCGGCACCACCUGCCGUGACCUGGUGAGCAAGUUGGGUCGCAAGACCCCCACCAGGGCGAGCGAGCUGAUGGACAUCGCCACCAAGUUCGCCUCUGGCCAGGAGGUGGUCGAGGCUAUCUUCCGAAAGGACAAGCAGCCCCAGGGCCGCCCACUGGAAGAUGCACCCGAGGCAUCUACUCAGCGCGGCGCCAAGAAGAAAGGCAAGAAGAAGUCGCAAGCGAAACGCGACGCCGCCGACGCGGACCUUGUCGCCGCCGCCGAGCACAAGAACCCUCGGAAGCCCCCCGGAGGUGCCAACCUCUUCGACAAGAUGCUCAAGGAGCCGUGCCCCUAUCAUCAGGGGCCCAUCAAGCACACCCUUGAGGAGUGCGUCAUGCUUCGGCGCCACUUCCACAGGGCCGGGCCACCCGUGGAGGGUGGCAGGGCCCGCGACGACGACAAGAAGGAAGAUUACCAAGCAGGAGAGUUCCCCGAGGUCCGCGACUGCUUCAUGAUCUACGGUGGGCAAGCGGCGAAUGCCUCGGCUCGGCACCGCAAGCAAGAGCGCCGGGAGGUCUGCUCGGUCAAGGUGGCGGCGCCGGUCUAUCUAGACUGGUCCGACAAGCCCAUCACCUUCGACCAAGACGAUCACCCCGACCACGUGCCGAGCCCGGGGAAAUACCCGCUCGUCGUCGACCCCGUCAUCGGCGACGUCAGGCUCACCAAGGUCCUUAUGGACGGGGGCAGCAGCCUCAACAUCAUCUACGCCGAGACCCUCAGGCUCCUGCGCGUCGAUCUGUCCUCCGUCCGAGCAGGCGCUGCGCCCUUCCACGGGAUCAUUCCCGGGAAGCGCGUCCAGCCCCUCGGACGACUCGACCUUCCCGUCUGCUUCGGAACGCCCUCCAACUUCCGAAGGGAGACCCUGACGUUCGAGGUGGUCGGGUUCCGAGGAACCUACCACGCGGUACUGGGGAGGCCAUGCUACGCGAAGUUCAUGGUCGUCCCCAACUACACCUACCUGAAGCUCAAGAUGUCGGGCCCCUACGGGGUCAUCACCGUCGGCCCCACGUACAGACACGCGUUCGAAUGCGACGUGGAGUGCGUGGAGUACGCCGAGACCCUCGCCGAAUCUGAGGCCCUCAUCGCCGACCUGGAAAGCCUCUCCAAAGAGGUGCCAGACGUGAAGCGUCAUGCCGGCAACUUCGAGCCAGUGGAGACGGUUAAGGCCGUCCCCCUCGACCCCAGCGGCAACGCCUCCAAGCAGAUCCGAAUCGGUUCCGGGCUCGACCCCAAAUAGGAAACAGUGCUCGUCGACUUUCUCCGCGCGAACGCUGACGUCUUCGCGUGGAGUCCCUCGGACAUGCCCGGCAUACCGAGGGAUGUCGCCGAGCACUCACUGGAUAUUCGGGCCGGAGCCCGACCCGUCAAGCAGCCUCUGCACCGAUUCGACGAGGAGAAGCGCAGAGCGAUAGGCGAGGAGAUUGAAAGGGAAUUAGGCUUACACCUAGUUCCUAUAUAAUUUUGGUGGUUGAAUUGCCCAACACAAAAUCUUUGGACUAACUAAGUUUGCCCAAGUGUAUAGAUUAUACAGGUGUAAAAGAUUCACACUCAGCCAAUAAAAAGACCAAGUUUUGGAUUCAACAAAGGAGCAAAGUGGGAACCGAAGGCCCUCUGGUCUGGGAGCACCGGACUGUCCGGUGUACACCGGACAGUGUCCGGUGCACCAGAGGACUCCAACGCAAACUCGCCACCUUCGGGAUUUUCCAGAGGCGACUCCGCUAUAAUUCACCGGACUGUCCGGUGUACACCGGACAGUGUCCGGUGCGCCAAGGGAGGUCGGCCUCAGGAACUCGCCAGCUUCGGGAAACUCCAACGGCUAGUCCGCUAUAAUUCACCGGACUGUCCGGUGUGCACCGGACUGUCCGGUGCGACUCCGGAGCAACGGCUACCUCCGCACCAACGGCUCUCUGCCGUGCAUUUAAUGCGCGCUCUGCGCGCGCAGAUGGCAGGCGCGCCCACUUCGGCACACCGGACAAGGAACAGUAGAUGUCCGGUGUGCACCGGACACCUCAGCAGGCCCACAAGUCAGAAGCUCCAACGGCUAGAAUCCAACGGCAGUGAUGACGUGGCAGGGGCACCGGACUGUCCGGUGUGCACCGGACUGUCCGGUGCGCCAUCGAACAGAGGCUGCCAGCAACGGUCACUUUUGGUGGUUGGGGCUAUAAAUACCCCAACCACCCCCCAUUCAUUGCCAUCCAAGUUUUCCACUUCUCAACUACUACAAGAGCUCUAGGCAUUCAAUUCUAGACACAUUCAAAGAGAUCAAAUCCUCUCCAAUUCCACACAAAACCCUAGUGACUAGAGAGAGUGAUUUGCCGUGUUCAUUUGAGCUCUUGCGCUUGGAUUGCUUCUUUUCUUUCUCACUUGUUCUUGAGAUCACAACUCCAUUGUAAUCAAGGCAAGAGGCACCAAUUGUGUGGUGGCCCUUGCGGGGAAGUUUUGUUCUCGGCUUUGAUUAGAGAAGAGAAGCUCACUCGGUCCGAGGGACCGUUUGAGAGAGGGAAGGGUUGAAAGAGACCCGGCCUUUGUGGCCUCCUCAACGGGGAGUAGGUUUGCAAGAACCGAACCUCGGUAAAACAAAUCUCCGUGUCUCAUUUGCUUAUUCGCUUGGGAUUUGUUUUGCGCCCUCUCUUGCGGACUCAUUUAUUAUUACUAACGCUAACCCCGGCUUGUAGUUGUGUUUAUAUUUGUAAAUUUCAGUUUCGCCCUAUUCACCCCCCCUCUAGGCGACUAUCAAUUGGUAUCAGAGCCCGGUGCUUCAUUAGAGCCUAACCGCUCGAAGUGAUGUCGGGAGAUCACGCCAAGAAGGAGAUGGAGACCGGCGAAAAGCCCACUACAAGCUACGGGAGCACUUCAUCGGAAGAGUCCCGCACCAAAAGGAGGGAGAAGAAGAAGAGCUCCUCCAACAAAGGGAAGGAGAAGAAAUCUUCUUCUCAUCACAAAGAGAAGAAGGAAAAAUCUUCUUCCCACAAGCCGCAUCGGAAAGGCGACAAGCACAAGAGGAUGAGGAAGGUGGUCUACUACGAGACCGACACUUCAUCAACAUCGACCUCCGACUCCGAUGCGCCCUCCGUCACUUCUAAGCGCCAAGAGCGCAAGAAGUAUAGUAAGAUCCCCCUACGCUACCCUCGCAUUUCCAAACAUACACCUUUACUUUCCGUCCCACUAGGCAAACCACCAACUUUUGAUGGUGAAGAUUACGCUAGGUGGAGCGAUUUAAUGCGAUUUCAUCUAAUCUCGCUCCACAAAAGCAUAUGGGAUGUUGUUGAGUUUGGUGCGCAGGUACCAUCCGUAGGGGAUGAAAACUAUGAUGAGGAUGAGGUGGCCCAAAUCGAGCACUUCAACUCUCAAGCCACAACCAUACUCCUUGCCUCUCUAAGCAAGGAAGAAUACAACAAAGUGCAAGGGUUGAAAAAUGCAAAGGAGAUUUGGGAUGUGCUCAAAACUGCACACGAGGGAGAUGAGCUCACCAAGAUCACCAAGCGGGAAACGAUCGAGGGGGAGCUCGGUCGGUUCCGACUUCAAAAAGGGGAGGAGCCACAACACAUGUACAACCGGCUCAAGACUUUGGUGAACCAAGUGCGCAACCUCGGGAGCAAGAAGUGGGAUGACCACGAAGUGGUAAAUGUUAUUUUAAGAUCUCUCAUUUUUCUUAAUCCCACUCAAGUUCAAUUGAUUCGUGGUAAUCCUAGAUAUACUAAAAUGACCCCCGAGGAAGUUAUCGGGCAUUUUGUAAGUUUUGAGUGCAUGAUAGAAGGCUCGAGGAAAAUCAACGAGCUUGGCGACUCAUCCGAAGCCCAACCCGUUGCAUUCAAGGCAACGGAGGAGAAGAAGGAGGAGGCUACACCAAGUCGACAACCAAUCGACGCCUCCAAGCUCGACAAUGAGGAAAUGGCGCUCGUCAUCAAGAGCUUCCGUCAAAUCCUCAAACAAAGGAGGGGGAAAGACUACAAGUCCCGCUCCAAGAAGGUUUGCUACAAGUGUGGUAAGCCCGGUCAUUUUAUUGCUAAAUGUCCUAUAUCUAGUGACAGUGACCGAGGUGACGACAAGAAGGGGAGACGAAAGGAAAAGAAGAGGUAUUAUAAGAAGAAGGGCGGCGAUGCCCAUGUUUGUCGCGAGUGGGACUCCGACGAGAGCUCAAGCGACUCCUCCGACGACGAGGACGCCGCCAACAUCGCCGUCACCAAGGGACUCCUCUUCCCCAACGUCGGCCACAAGUGCCUCAUGGCAAAGGACGGCAAAAAGAAGGUUAAAUCUAAAUCCUCCACUAAAUAUGAAUCCUCUAGUGAUGACAAUGCUAGUGAUGAGGAAGAUAAUUUGCGUUCCCUUUUUGCCAACCUUAACAUAGCUCAAAAAGAAAAGUUAAAUGAAUUGGUUAGUGCUAUUCAUGAAAAGGAUGACCUUUUGGAUUCCCAAGAGGAUUGUCUAAUUAAAGAAAACAAAAAACAUGUUAAGGUUAAAAAGGCUUAUGCUCUAGAAGUAGAAAAAUGUGAAAAAUUAUCUAGUGAGCUAAGCACUUGCCGUGAGAUGAUUGACAACCUUAGGAAUGAAAAUGCUAUUUUAAAUGCUAAGGUUGAUUCUCAUGUUUAUAAUGUUUCAAUUCCCAAUCCUAGAGAUAAUAAUGAUGAUUUGCUUGCUAGGAUUGAAGAAUUAAACAUUUCCCUUGCUAGCCUUAGAUUAGAGAAUGAAAGUUUGAUUGCUAAGGCUAAAGAUUUUGAUGUUUGCAAAGUUACCAUUGCCAAUCUUAGAGAUAAAAAUGAUAUUCUUCAUGCUAAGAUUGUUGAACUUAAUUCUUGCAAACCAUCUACAUCUAUUGUUGAGCAUGUAUCUAUUUGUACUAGAUGUAGAAAUGUUGAUAUUGAUGCUAUUCAUGAUCAUAUGGCUUUAAUUAAACAACAAAAUGAUCAUAUAGCAAAACUAGAUGCUAAAAUUGCCGAGCAUAACUUAGAAAAUGAAAAAUUUAAAUUUGCUCGUAGCAUGCUUUAUAAUGGGAGACGCCCUGGCAUCAAGGAUGGCAUUGGCUUCCAAAGGGGAGACAAUGUCAAACUUAAUGCCCCUCCUAAGAACUUGUCUAACUUUGUUAAGGGCAAAGCUCCCAUGCCUCAGGAUAACGAGGGUUACAUUUUAUACCCUGCCGGCUAUCCUGAGAGCAAAAUUAGGAAGAUUCAUUCUAGGAAGUCUCACUCUGGCCCUAAUCAUGCUUUUAUGUAUAAGGGUGAGACAUCUAGUUCUAGGCAACCAACCCAUGCUAAGUUGCCUAAGAAGAAAAUUCCUAAUGCAUCAAAUGAUCAUGCCAUUUCAUUUAAAACUUUUGAUGCAUCUUAUGUGCUUACUAGCAAAUCCGGCAAGGUAGUUGCCAAAUUUGUUGGGGGCAAACACAAGGGUUCCAAGACUUGUGUUUGGGUACCCAAAGUUCUUGUCUCUAAUGCCAAAGGACCCAAAACCGUUUGGGUACCUAAAGUCAAGAACUAAAAUUGUUUUGUAGGUUUAUGCAUCCGGGGGCUCAAGUUGGAUACUCGAUAGCGGGUGCACAAACCACAUGACAGGGGAGAAAAGGAUGUUCUCCUCAUAUGAGAAAAACCAAGAUCCCCAACGAGCUAUCACAUUCGGGGAUGGAAAUCAAGGUUUGGUCAAAGGUCUUGGAAAAAUUGCUAUAUCUCCUGACCAUUCCAUUUCCAAUGUUUUUCUUGUAGAUUCCUUAGAUUACAACUUGCUUUCCGUUUCUCAAUUAUGUCAAAUGGGCUACAACUGUCUAUUCACUGAUGUUGGUGUCACUGUCUUUAGAAGAAGUGAUGAUUCAAUAGCAUUUAAGGGAGUGUUAGAGGGUCAGCUAUACUUGGUAGAUUUUGAUAGAGCUGAACUCGACACUUGCUUAAUUGCUAAGACUAACAUGGGUUGGCUCUGGCACCGCCGACUAGCCCAUGUUGGGAUGAAGAAUCUUCAUAAGCUUCUAAAGGGAGAGCACAUUUUAGGAUUAACAAAUGUUCAUUUUGAGAAAGACAGGAUUUGUAGCGCAUGCCAGGCGGGAAAGCAAGUUGGAGUCCAUCAUCCACACAAGAACAUCAUGACGACCGACAGGCCGCUUGAGCUACUCCACAUGGAUCUAUUCGGCCCGAUUGCUUACAUAAGCAUCGGCGGGAGUAAGUAUUGUCUUGUUAUUGUGGAUGAUUAUUCUCGCUUCACUUGGGUAUUCUUUUUGCAGGAAAAAUCUCAAACCCAAGAGACCCUAAAGGGAUUCUUGAGACGGGCUCAAAAUGAGUUCGGCUUGAGGAUCAAGAAAAUUAGAAGCGACAACGGGACGGAGUUCAAGAACUCUCAAAUUGAAGGCUUCCUUGAGGAGGAGGGCAUCAAGCAUGAGUUCUCUUCUCCCUACACUCCACAACAAAAUGGUGUAGUGGAGAGGAAGAAUCGAACUCUAUUGGACAUGGCAAGAACCAUGCUUGAUGAGUACAAGACACCGGACCGGUUUUGGGCCGAAGCGGUCAACACCGCCUGCUACGCCAUCAACCGGUUAUAUCUUCACCGAAUCCUCAAGAAGACAUCGUAUGAACUCCUAACCGGUAAAAAGCCCAACAUUUCAUAUUUUAGAGUUUUUGGUAGCAAAUGCUUCAUUCUUAUUAAAAGAGGUAGAAAAUCUAAAUUUGCUCCUAAAACUGUAGAAGGUUUUUUACUUGGUUAUGACUCAAACACAAGGGCAUAUAGGGUCUUUAACAAGUCCACUGGACUAGUUGAAGUCUCUUGUGACGUUGUGUUUGAUGAAACUAACGGCUCUCAAGUAGAGCAAGUUGAUCUUGAUGAGAUAGGUGAAGAACAGGCUCCAUGCAUCGCGCUAAGGAACAUGUCCAUCGGGGAUGUGUGUCCUAAGGAAUCCGAAGAGCCUCCAAGUACACAAGAUCAACCAUCCUCCUCCAUGCAAGCAUCUCCACCAACUCAAAAUGAGGAUGAGGCUCAAAAUGAUGAAGAGCAAAAUCAAGAAGACGAGCCACCUCAAGAUGAUAGCAAUGAUCAAGGGGGAGAUACAAAUGAUCAAGAAAAGGAGGAUGAGGAAGAACCAAGACCGCCACACCCAAGAGUCCACCAAGCAAUCCAACGAGAUCACCCCGUCGACACCAUCCUCGGCGACAUUCAUAAGGGGGUAACUACUCGAUCUCGGGUUGCUCAUUUUUGUGAACAUUACUCUUUUGUUUCCUCUAUUGAGCCACACAGGGUAGAGGAAGCUCUCCAAGAUUCGGAUUGGGUGGUGGCGAUGCAAGAGGAGCUCAACAAUUUCACGAGGAAUGAGGUCUGGCAUUUAGUUCCACGUCCUAACCAAAAUGUUGUAGGAACCAAAUGGGUCUUCCGCAACAAGCAAGAUGAGCAUGGUGUGGUGACAAGGAACAAAGCUCGACUCGUGGCCAAAGGGUAUUCACAAGUCGAAGGUUUGGAUUUUGGUGAAACCUAUGCACCCGUAGCUAGGCUUGAGUCAAUUCGCAUAUUAUUGGCCUAUGCUACUUACCAUGGCUUUAAGCUCUAUCAAAUGGACGUGAAAAGUGCCUUUCUCAACGGACCAAUCAAGGAAGAGGUCUAUGUUGAGCAACCUCCCGGCUUUGAAGACAGUGAGUAUCCUAAUCAUGUCUAUAGGCUCUCUAAGGCGCUUUAUGGGCUCAAGCAAGCCCCAAGAGCAUGGUAUGAAUGCCUUAGAGAUUUCCUUAUUGCUAAUGGCUUCAAAGUCGGCAAGGCCGAUCCUACACUCUUUACUAAAACUCUUGAAAAUGACUUGUUUGUAUGCCAAAUUUAUGUUGAUGAUAUUAUAUUUGGGUCUACUAACGAGUCUACAUGUGAAGAGUUUAGUAGGAUCAUGACACAGAAAUUCGAGAUGUCGAUGAUGGGGGAGUUGAAGUAUUUUCUAGGAUUCCAAGUCAAGCAACUCCAAGAGGGCACCUUCAUUUGCCAAACGAAGUACACUCAAGACAUUCUAACCAAGUUUGGGAUGAAGGAUGCCAAACCCAUCAAGACACCCAUGGGAACUAAUGGGCAUCUCGACCUCGACACGGGAGGUAAGUCCGUGGAUCAAAAGGUAUACCGGUCGAUGAUUGGUUCAUUGCUUUAUUUAUGUGCAUCUCGACCGGACAUUAUGCUUUCUGUUUGCAUAUGUGCAAGAUUCCAAUCCGACCCUAAGGAAUCACACCUUACGGCCGUAAAACGAAUCUUGAGAUAUUUGGCUUAUACACCUAAGUUUGGGCUUUGGUACCCUCGGGGAUCCACAUUUGAUUUACUUGGUUAUUCGGAUGCCGAUUGGGCGGGGUGCAAAAUCAAUAGGAAGAGCACAUCGGGGACUUGCCAGUUCUUGGGAAGAUCCUUGGUGUCUUGGGCUUCAAAGAAGCAAAAUUCGGUCGCUCUUUCCACCGCCGAAGCCGAGUACAUUGCCGCAGGACAUUGUUGCGCGCAAUUGCUUUGGAUGAGGCAAACCCUGCGGGACUACGGUUACAAAUUAACCAAAGUCCCUUUGCUAUGUGAUAAUGAGAGUGCAAUUAAAAUGGCCGACAAUCCCGUCGAGCAUAGCCGCACUAAGCACAUAGCAAUUCGGUAUCAUUUUCUUAGGGAUCACCAACAAAAGGGGGAUAUCGAGAUUUCUUACAUUAAUACUAAAGAUCAAUUAGCCGAUAUCUUUACCAAGCCACUUGAUGAACAAUCUUUUACCAGACUUAGGCAUGAGCUCAAUAUUCUUGAUUCUAGAAAUUUCUUUUGCUAGCUUGCACACAUAGCUCAUUUAAAUACCUUUGAUCAUAUCUCUUUUAUAUGCUAUGACUAAUGUGUUUUCAAGUCGAUUUCAAACCAAGUCAUAGGUAUAUUGAAAGGAAAUUGGAGUCUUCGGCGAAGACAAAGGCUUCCACUCCGUAACUCAUGCUUCGCCAUCACUCCGAGCAACUCUCUCGUCUUUGGGGGAGAAAUGAGCAUCAAGGAAAAGGACUUCAUCCUUGGGGGAGAGAGUAAAAGCUCAAACGCAAAAGGACUUCGUCUUUGGUAUAAUCUUAACUCAUUUAUUUAUGACCAAAGGGGAAGAUUGCACUUAAAGGGCUCUAAUGAUUCCGUUUUUGGCGAUUCAUGCCAAAAAGGGGGAGAAAUGAGCCCAAAGCAAAAAGGACCGCACCACCACCAAUUUCAAAAACUUAGUGUUGAAUAUUUUCAAUUGGUUUUCCUAUUGUGUUCAAAAAGGGGAGAAAGUAGUAUUUCAAAAGUAUAUAUCAAAACCCUCUUGAACACUAAGAGGAGGAUUUUAUUUAGGGGGAGUUUUGUUUAGUCAAAGGAAAAGCAUUUGAAACAAGGGGAGAAAAUUUCAAAUCUUGAAAAUGCUUAUCAAAAUCUUAUUCAUUUACCUUUGACUAUUUGCAAAAGAACUUUGAAAAGGAUUUACAAAAUAGUUUGCAAAAACAAAACUCGUGGUGCAAGCGUGGUCCAAAAUGUUAAAUAAGAAAGAAACAAUCCAUGCAUAUCUUGUAAGUAUUUAUAUUGGCUAAAUUCCAAGCAACCUUUACACUUACAUUAUGCAAACUAGUUCAAUUAUGCACUUCUAUAUUUGCUUUGGUUUGUGUUGGCAUCAAUCACCAAAAAGGGGGAGAUUGAAAGGGAAUUAGGCUUACACCUAGUUCCUAUAUAAUUUUGGUGGUUGAAUUGCCCAACACAAAAUCUUUGGACUAACUAAGUUUGCCCAAGUGUAUAGAUUAUACAGGUGUAAAAGAUUCACACUCAGCCAAUAAAAAGACCAAGUUUUGGAUUCAACAAAGGAGCAAAGUGGGAACCGAAGGCCCUCUGGUCUGGGAGCACCGGACUGUCCGGUGUACACCGGACAGUGUCCGGUGCACCAGAGGACUCCAACGCAAACUCGCCACCUUCGGGAUUUUCCAGAGGCGACUCCGCUAUAAUUCACCGGACUGUCCGGUGUACACCGGACAGUGUCCGGUGCGCCAAGGGAGGUCGGCCUCAGGAACUCGCCAGCUUCGGGAAACUCCAACGGCUAGUCCGCUAUAAUUCACCGGACUGUCCGGUGUGCACCGGACUGUCCGGUGCGACUCCGGAGCAAUGGCUACCUCCGCACCAACGGCUCUCUGCCGCGCAUUUAAUGCGCGCUCUGCGCGCGCAGAUGGCAGGCGCGCCCACUUCGGCACACCGGACAAGGAACAGUAGAUGUCCGGUGUGCACCGGACACCUCAGCAGGCCCACAAGUCAGAAGCUCCAACGGCUAGAAUCCAACGGCAGUGAUGACGUGGCAGGGGCACCGGACUGUCCGGUGUGCACCGGACUGUCCGGUGCGCCAUCGAACAGAGGCUGCCAGCAACGGUCACUUUUGGUGGUUGGGGCUAUAAAUACCCCAACCACCCCCCAUUCAUUGCCAUCCAAGUUUUCCACUUCUCAACUACUACAAGAGCUCUAGGCAUUCAAUUCUAGACACAUUCAAAGAGAUCAAAUCCUCUCCAAUUCCACACAAAACCCUAGUGACUAGAGAGAGUGAUUUGCCGUGUUCAUUUGAGCUCUUGCGCUUGGAUUGCUUCUUUUCUUUCUCACUUGUUCUUGAGAUCACAACUCCAUUGUAAUCAAGGCAAGAGGCACCAAUUGUGUGGUGGCCCUUGUGGGGAAGUUUUGUUCUCGGCUUUGAUUAGAGAAGAGAAGCUCACUCGGUCCGAGGGACCGUUUGAGAGAGGGAAGGGUUGAAAGAGACCCGGCCUUUGUGGCCUCCUCAACGGGGAGUAGGUUUGCAAGAACCGAACCUCGGUAAAACAAAUCUCCGUGUCUCAUUUGCUUAUUCGCUUGGGAUUUGUUUUGCGCCCUCUCUUGCGGACUCAUUUAUUAUUACUAACGCUAACCCCGGCUUGUAGUUGUGUUUAUAUUUGUAAAUUUCAGUUUCGCCCUAUUCACCCCCCCUCUAGGCGACUAUCAGAGAUCCACAAGCUAAUGGCAGCCGGGUUCAUCAAAGAGGUAUUCCAUCCCGAAUGGCUUGCCAACCCUGUGCUUGUGAGAAAGAAAGGGGGGAAAUGGCGGAUGUGUGUAGACUACACUGGUCUCAACAAAGCAUGUCCGAAGGUUCCCUACCCUCUGCCUUGCAUCGAUCAAAUCGUGGAUUCCACUGCUGGGUGCGAAGCCCUGUCUUUCCUCGACGCCUACUCAGGGUAUCACCAAAUCAGGAUGAAAGAGUCCGACCAGCUCGCGACUUCUUUCAUCACGCCUUUCGGCAUGUACUGCUAUGUCACCAUGCCGUUCGGUUUGAGGAAUGCGGGCGCGACGUACCAGCGGUGCAUGAACCAUGUGUUCGGCGAACACAUCGGUCGCACGGUCGAAGCCUACGUCGAUGACAUCAUAGUCAAGACGAGGAAAGCUUCCGACCUCAUCUCCGACCUUGAAGUGACAUUCUGAUGUCUCAAGGCGAAAGGCGUCAAGCUCAAUCCCGAGAAGUGUGUCUUCGGGGUGCCCCGGGGCAUGCUCUUGGGGUUCAUCGUGAAAGUUCCCUUUGACUCGGGAACAGGAUCUGGAUGUCGCCUAGAGGGGGGGGUGAAUAGGCGAAUAAAACUUAUUACUUUAAGAUUUAAAUUCUUACUCUACUCGAAGACUUAGUACGCAGUGGAGUGAGAAGACUCUUCGAGUAGGUUGCAGCGGAAUCAGAGAUCCUGUCUCAAAAAUGUCCUGCACUUCAAAUAAAGCUUAUACCACAGAUAAGUAUUGAAGUGCAGAUAUAAAGACGAGUAAGACAGAGAGUCAGGAUACAAUACAGAACAGAGCACACAGACGCAAGGAUUUAUCCCGAGGUUCGGCCAAGCCUGAAAUGCUUGCCUAUUCCUCGUUGGAGUUAGCCACACCUGGGCUUGGAGUCUAUUUCAACUCCUUCCUCCGUUUGCUCAGAUCUGUCAGUAUGAUAGAUAGAGCCUUUCACUAUUGAGUGGGGUUACAACAGAACCGCGGCUGCUUACAAACUUCUUGGCAGAACCCCGGCAGAGUAACUAUACGCUCAAGACCUUGCUCUAGCUCUUAGCAGCACUACUCCUCUCUCUAAAGGCUUAUAGCUGUGCCUUCUACACAAACUAUAGAGUUACACACAAGAGGGAGAGCGAGAAUUGAUUCCAGUGAAGUCUACACUUGUUGGCUGCACUUGUACAUUGCUUGAGGCGCCUAGGGGUCCCUUUUAUAGGCACAAGGGGCCUAGGAGCCGUUGGAAGCAAACCAGGAAGGCAAAUCUUGCCUUCUGUCGGGUGGCGCACCGGACAGUCCGGUGCACACCGGACACUGUCCGGUGCCUGAUUUCUUUCCUUUUAUGGCGAAGCCGACCGUUGGCAGUCUUGGAGCCGUUGGCGCACCGGACAGUCCGGUGCACACCGGACAGUCCGGUGCCAGCCACGUGUCCCGCGCAGAUUGCGCGACCGACCGAUGGCCCGGCCGACCGUUGGCUCACCGGACAGUCCGGUGCACACCGGACAGUCCGGUGCACACCGGACAGUCCGGUGCACACCGGACAGUCCGGUGAAUUUUAGCCGUUCGUCGCCAGUAAAUUCCCGAGAGCGGCCAGUUCGCCAGAGUUCAGCCUGGCGCACCGGACACUGUCCGGUGCACCACCGGACAGUCCGGUGUGCCAGACUGAGCUGCCUUGGCUGUAUAUAGCCAAGCCCUUUGCACCUCUCUUCUUUUCUUCUUCUUUCUGUUUCUAACACUUAGACAAGUAUAUUAGUCCACAAAACCAAUGUACUAAGUAUAGAAACAUACCUUCUCUUAAUCAUUAAAUCUAUAGCAUUCCACAUGCUUGAGCUUUGAUGUUGGACUCAUAAAUCAUCAAGUCGGCUUGUCUUGAUCUAGAUUGACAUUACUUGACUCCAACAUCCUGUAAAGGUCACAUAGAACAUCUCCAAACAUAGGAACAACCCAAACUAAAGAUCAAGGUGAACUUAGCUCUUUUGGGCUGCUUCCAGUUCUGGUUUUGACACUUGUUCUCCUUCUAGUGACCUUGAUCUCCUUCUUAGAGCUUGUUCUUGAGCCUUAUGACUUACACCACAUAACUGUAGCUGUUACCUCAUUGGCUGUAAGUCACGUCCUUAUGUAGUGAUCCUUGAUGUGCCGUAGCUGUUCUCAACUCGAUCACCCUUGACUUUGCAAGCCUUCUUCUUCACCCUUGGCUUUGGGUUCCUCAGCCUCCUUGACCUUCUCCCGUGCACUUGGUACCUCGAAGCUCUUCUUGCCUCCGUCCUUGGCUUGAUCAGUUGUCUCCGAGCUACGCACCCGAGUCUCACUUUUGCAAUGUCCAUCUUACUUGUGCUGUCCAUUAUGUAUCCAUAAUCCAGUUCUUGGACCAUCACAUUUGUUCACUUGUGUAGAACCCUGUAGGCUUUACUUUAAGCACCUGUUCAACACUUAGUACACUUGUUAGUCCUUUAAUUGAGUUGUCAUCCAAACACCAAAACUCACAAGAGAGCUUUCACAUCGUCUCCGAGCGGGGCAUCGAAGCCAACCCGGAGAAGAUCGCAGCCAUCACCAGCAUGGGUCCCAUCAAGGACUUAAAGGGCGUACAGAGAGUCAUGGGAUGUCUCGCGGCUCUGAGCCGCUUCAUCUCAUGCCUCGGCGAAAGAGGCCUGCCUCUGUGCCGCCUCUUAAGGAAGGCCGAGCACUUCACCUGGACCCCUGAGGCCGAGGAAGCUCUCGGGAACCUGAAGGCGCUCCUCACAAAGGCGCCUAUCUUGGUGCCCCCAGCUGACGGAGAAGCCCUCUUGGUCUACGUCGCCGCCACCACCCAGGUGGUUAGCGCCGCGAUCGUGGUCGAGAGGCCGUCUUGCUCACUGACCUGGAGUACGGCUCCCCGAGGACGAGGGCCUACAGCGAUCAAAGCAACCAAGCUAGCCGAGAAGACUCGCUGGACCAGCUGGAAGAGGCUCGGGACAAGGCCUUGCUACACUUGGCGCGGUACCAGCAGUCCCUGCGACGCUACCACGCCCGAGGGGUCCGGCCCCGAGACCUCCGGGUGGGCGACCUGGUGCUUCGGCUGCAGCAAGACGCCCGAGGGAGGCACAAGCUCACGCCCCCUGGGAGGGGCCAUUCGUCAUCGCCAAAGUUCUGAAGCCCGGAACGUACAAGCUGGCCAACAGUCAAGGCGAGGUCUACGGCAACGCUUGGAACAUCCAACAGCUACGUCGCUUCUACCCUUAAGAUGUUUUCAAGUUGUUCAUAUACCUCACACCCAUGCAAAGUUUAGUCAUCAAGGAAGGGUCGGCCUCGCCUCGGCAAAGCCCGACCCUCCCUCGGGGCUAAAAGGGGGGGACCCCCUCUGCGUUGAAAUUUUCCUCGAAAAAAGAUCUCUUCUGCCAGAAUAUCUUUCGUGCUUUCUGACUAUUUCGAAAAGUGGACCCUGAAAACGACGGAGUACACGUAAGCAGCCAAGGCUGACCGAGCCGAGGGACUCCUACGCCUCCGGGAUACGGAUACCUCACUCAUCACCUUCUGCGAUAAGUAACUCGCGUUCGGAUAAAGUGAUUCCGCGGACCGAACAAGUCUUCACGUUCGGAAGCUCUUCUGCCGAAGCGAUCCUUCGAGCCUUCUCGACUGAGUCGGUGACAGGGCCUCAUGGACGAGUGAAAGUGCGCGUAAGCGGCAAGGCCGACCGAGCCAAGGGACUCCCACGCCUCCGGGAUACGGAUACCUCACUCAUCACCUUCCGCGAGAAGCAACUUUCGCUCGCACAAACAUCCCUGUUACCGACAAAAAAGUCCAGAUACUCGAAGCAAGAGGAAAGGAGACGCAGCUUUACAACACAGCGAGGGUGUGUAAAUUCUGGCCUCGGCGGCCGCAGAAGGCACACGCUACAAGACACUCUGAUCCUGUAGGCUCGGGUCUUGACGCUGGAAGGGGGCAGUAGCACCCUCGGCAUCGACGACACCUUCAGCGAGGUCCGACCUAGCCUCGGACGGCGACGCGGUCCAGGGAUCCCCACUCUGGAGGACGACGUCAUCGUCACGCCCGGACAAUCGCUGCCAGGGACUUCUCCGGGAAUCCGGCCCGAGCAGGCGGCUCGGCCGGGUACCCCUGGAGGCCUCGACCAACCAUCUCCCAAGGGCGCCAGCCCGACCCGAGGCCUCGGCUGAUCAACUCCGGCGUCGGUCCCACUAACGGACAACCCGACUAGGCUCCGGCCAACCAGGUUUCAUUUUCGAGCCAACUCCGCCUCUGUUCAUGCUGAUAUCGCUACCCCUGGCCUCGGCUCAUCGAAGAGCGGCCAAGGGGUCCCUUUAACUGAGCUAGAGGAGCCUCAGACAACAAGGUCGACCGAGCCGAGGUACUCCUACGCCUCCGGGAUACGGAUACCUCACUCGUCACCUUGACACGGGGCGACUCAUGCUUGGUGAAGCGGUUCAGACAACCAGCCGGCGAGUCUUAGUGCUCGAAAAUGAGAAAAAAAAACACGGCUCCAUGCCGAAAUUACAUACAUGUUCAGGCCUCGACAGCCGCAAUGAACAAAAAACCCUGGCAUUCGAAGUGCCAUUACAAACGGAACUCCGGUUCCCCCUCCGCAGGUACGAACAACCCCACUCGAUAGGGGUGGGCCUGCGGAGCAACAGAAGACCGACGAACGGCACGCCGUCACCCGCUCCAGCAGCGGCGACGACGACGACUUUUGCUCCGGGGGGCCGAGCAGCGGCAGCACUGACCUUAGGGCGGAUGCUGCUGCCAGGAGGCCCCCGCCCAUGCCCAAACUCGUGAGGCAAGGACGGGCGGAAGGCCGUAGAGUUGGAGGUCGGUCCGUGGCCGGCCUUGGCUAUCUCGCCGGCGGGAGAACCUCUUCUAGCUGCCGUGGCAGACGCCGGCGCCGCGAGCGGCUCCGAAGCCACUCGCGUCCGAGAGCCAGGCACGGUGCAGCUGUCAGCGCCAUGGACGACGACCGCCCUUCCCUCCGAUCACUGAGUGAAGGAGCGGGCCGCCGCCCACACGGGGGCCGACCCCAACUCGGCACACUCCCCUCCCCAGCCCUAGUGAUGAAAAUCCUUGAGGCUGAGGGAGGGGCGGAGGCCGCGACCCGGCUCGCUUUCCCCCACCAUCAAGCCGGAGGUCACCAUCUUGGGUGACCGCCGGUGGAGGGGUGCACCCAGGCUGCAUGAUGAAAAUCCUUGAAGCCGAACGAUGGCUGAAAGGUACCAACUCCUACGGAGUUGCGUUCCUCCAACGAUGAGGCGAAAAGACGGCGGGUAUCCCCAUCCGGGGGCUUGGAAGGUGGAAAGACGUGAUGCAUAAGGGAGCGAGAAGACAUGGUCGCCUUCCGAAGGGGGUCACCCUCCUUUUAAAGGAAACUCUCCCUACUUGCGCCCCCAACCGUCACGGGCUGAGUCUUCUCCAACACGCUCCAAGGCCCUCCCCUGCGGCGCGGGGGCUGGGUCCCGCACGUCAUGCAAACCGGCUCAGAGCAGAAGAAGCCAAACCGCCGCGCGUGGUGCACACAACCGCCCAGCGGUUGCAAGUGACCCUCCGCUUUUGCCCAGACCAACGGGCGAAAGAGGCGGGCAGCCAUGCAGGCGGCAUGCAACCGCGCCAAGUGGGCACGCUUCUCUGACUCCCGACACGCCAGCAUGGAGGCCCAGGCCCACGCGUCACGCAACCGGCGCGCCGGAUGCUGCAUGCAAGCGGCUGCAUCGCCACUUGCGCCACCACCGCGCCUCCUCAAUUGCGGAACCAAUACCGCGGCUCGAGGCGACCAGGCGCACGACCCAGCAGCGCCAGCCUGACGCGGUGGUCAAUGCGGCCAAAGGUGGGCCGGCAGUAAUGACGGUGGCAGGCGGGCGGGAGCAGCGGACACGUCGUCAGCCAAGCUCACGUCCCAUCCGGGGGCAGCAAGGGAACCCCCUCUCACGGCGUGAAGACAACGCGCCUGUGGUCCGUUCCUCGAAUGGCUCGUGCACGCGCAACGGCCGUCCUGCCAACAACUCGCCCCGUCGCAUUAACUCCGCGGAGGGACAGACGGCGCCUCUGGCAGGAGAAGCGGGCGACGCUUCGCCUUCGCCGUAAAAACCGCGCCAAAAAAGGUACGCCACGUCGUUCGAUUUCGUAUCCUUUUCCUUUUUUCCUCUUUCUCUAUCUCUUGCAACAGGGACCGGGAAAGGGGGAUACCCCGAAAGGGAUCCUUCCCCGUGAAGGAACCAGGCUCCGAGCCUCCUUACUGAUCAGAGGUUCGAAGGCUGGCCCCCCGAAGGGUUUCAACAGCCGCCUCAGAUCGCGUGGGCCCUACACCCACUACUGGUCAGAGGUUCGAAGGCCGGCCCCCCGAAGGGUUCCACGGCCGCCUCAGGCUACUCGGGCUCCGCGCCCAUUACUGAUCAGGGGUUCGAAGGCUGGCCCCCGAAGGGUUCACAGUCGCCUCAGACGCCGAGCGAGGGAUGACCAGGGGUACGUUCGAUACAUAACCAAGGCUCGGGCUGCGCUCCCGAGGUACCCUAGGACAUUUCUGAGACCAGCGGGAGCGAUCUUGUAACGGAAUCCCAUCAGAGGGAGGCAUCGAGCCCUCGGACCCCGUCGCCAGGGGACCGGGUCCGGCAGAUCACCCGCAGGUACUUUUGGGCGUGCCUCUGGGCCCCUAGCCGACCCCUAACGAACGGGGCAUGGACGUCCACUCGGAUUACCCGCUUGCAGCGCACCGGAGACACCAUGUUCGACGCCCAUCGAGGGUAACAUGGCGAUUUCCCCCCCUCCUCCUUGCGGAAAGGCGACGCAGGGGCGUAUGUAAAAAAGCCGAGUCUGUCCCUGAUCGCCCUCUCGCCCUAUGCGGAGGCUCGGGGGCUGCUCUCGCAAACCCGGCUCCGGCCGAACCGUUGACAGCGUCAACAUACCAGCCCGAGAGCUUGGACCCCGACCGUACACCCGGGCUACGACCAGUUCGCAUGAGGGAACAACCAGACCAGCCGAAGCAUUACGCGAGGCAUUAAGACCUCGAAGGAGUGAAACCACUCCUCCGAGGCCUCGGGGGCUACACCCGGCGGGUGCGCUCGCGCGCACCCACCGGAUCAAAAUGCAACCGAGAAAGGCUGGUCCCCUUGCAAAAAAGUGCGACGAAAGCCUCCAAGCGAGUGCUAACACUCCCUUCGAGGCUCGGGGGCUACUGUCGGGGACCAUAAUUAGGGGUACCCUCAAGACUCCUAAUUCUCAGCUGGUAACCCCCAUCAGCAUAAAGCUGCUAAGGCCUGAUGGGUGCGAUUAAGUCAGGGAUCAGUCCAUUCGAGCGACUCGAUCACGCCUUGCCCGAGCCUAGCCUCGGACAAGGACAGCCGACCCCGGAGGAUUUCCGUCUCGCCCGAGGCCCCCCUCCGACGGUGGACAUAUUUCCGACUCGCCCGAGGCCCUGCCUUCGCUAAGAAGCAACCCUGACUAAAUUGCCGCACCGACCAACCAAGUCGCAGGAGCAUUUAAUGCAAAGGUGACCUGACACCUUUAUCCUGACGCGCGCCCCCCGGCAGAACCGAAGUGACCGCCGUCACUUCACCGCUCCACUGACCGGCCUGACAGAAGGACAGCGCCGCCUGCGCCACUCCGACCGCAGUGCCGCUUGGCAGAGUGAGACUGACAGGCAGUCAGGCCCUGCCAAAGGCACCAUAGGAAGCUCUGCCCGACCCAGGGCUCGGACUCGGGCUAAGCCCCGGAAGACGGCGAACUCCGCUCCGCCUGACCCAGGGCUCGGACUCGGGCUAAGCCCCGGAAGGCGGCGAACUCCGCUCCGCCCGACCCAGGGCUCGGACUCGGGCUAAGCCCCGGAAGACGGCGAACUCCGCUCCGCCCGACCUAGGGCUCGGACUCGGGCUAAGUCCCGGAAGACGGCGAACUCCGCUCCGCCCGACCCAGGGCUCGGACUCGGGCUAAGUCUCGGAAGACGACGAACUCCGCUUCGCCCGACCCCAGGGCUCGGACUCGGGCUCAGCCCCAGAAGACGACGAACUCCGCUCCGCCCGACCCCAGGGCUCGGACUCCGCCCUGGCCUCUGCCGAGCGACCUCCGCCUCGCCCGACCCAGGGGCUCGGACUCGGCCUCGGCCAUAGAAGACAGACUCGACCUCGGCUUCGGAGGAGCCUCCACGUCGCCCAACCUAGGGCGCAGGCCAGCCACGUCAACAGGAAGCGCCAUCAUCACCCUACCCUGAGCUGACUCGGGCCGCAGAGAACAAGACCGGUGUCCCAUCUGGCUAGCUCCGCCGGAUAGGCAAUGAUGGCGCCCCGCAUGCUUUGUGACGACGACGGCUCUCAGCUCUCUUACGGAAGCAGGAGGACGUCAGCAAGGAAUCAACCGCCCCGACAGCUGUCCCUCUGCCAGGCUCCAUCGCUCCUCCGACGGCCACGACAUCACACCAGCUGGGUGCCAAAAUCUCUCCGGUUGCCACAUCGGCAUGUACUUAGGGCGCUAGCUCUCCCCCGCUAGACACGUAGCACUCUGCUACACCCCCAUUGUACACCUAGAUCCUCUCCUUACGCCUAUAAAAGGAAGGACCAGGGCCCUCUUAGAGAAGGUUGGCCGCGCGGGGACAAGGACGGGACAGGCGCUCUCUUGGGGCCGCUCGCUUCCCUCUCCCGCGUGGACGCUUGUAACCCCCUACUGCAAGCGCACCCAACCUGGGCGCGGGACGAACACGAAGGCCGCGGGAUUUCCACCUCUCUCACGCCCAUCUCCGGCCACCUCACUUCCCCCCUUCGCGCUUGGCCUCGCGUCGACCCAUCUGGGCUGGGGCACGCGACGACAUUCACUCGUCGGCUUAGGGACCCCCCGGUCUCGAAACGCCGACAGCGCUGAUUUGUUUUACCGAGGUUUGGUUCUUGCAAACCUACUCCCCAUUGAGGUGGUCACAAAGACCGGGUCUCUUUCAACCCUUUCCCUCUCUCAAACGGUCACCUAGACCGAGUGAGCUUCUCUUCUCAAUCAAUCGGGACACUAAGUCCCCACAAGGACCACCACACAAUUGGUGCCUCUUGUCUUGAUUACAAUUUAGUUGGGAACAAGAAAGAAAGAAGAAGAAAAGCGAUUCAAGCGCAAGAACUCAAAUGAACACAAAUGUCUCUCUCACUAGUCACUAUUUGAUUGGAAUGAUCUUUGGACUUGGGAGAGGAUUUGAUCUCUUGUUUGUGUCUUGGAGUGAAGUCUAGAGCUCUUGUAUUGAAUGCAAUGGCUGAAAACUUGGAUGCAUUGAAGUGUUGGUGGUUGGGGAUAUUUAUAGCCCCAACCACCAAAGUGGCCGUUGGGGAUGGCUGCAGUCGUAUGGCGCACCGGACAGUCCGGUGCGCCAGCCACGUCACCCAACCGUUAGGGUUCGACCGUUGGAGCUCUGACAAGUGGGGCCAUCGGACAGUCACUGUUCACUGUCCGGUGCGCCUUCUGACGCCUGCUCUGACUUCUGCGCGCGCAGGCGCGUACUAUAGCGUUUCACUAUUCCUUUGCAGACGAUCGCGUUGCUUCGCUGGCACACCGGACAGUCUGGUGAAUUAUAGUGGACUGGCUCCCCAAAUUCCCGAAGCUAGCAAGUUUGAGUUGAUCCACCCUGGUGCACCGGACACUGUGCGGUGGCACACCGGACAGUCCGGUGCGCCAGACCAGGGCAGCCUUCGGUUAUCUUUGGCUCUUUUUAUUUGAACCCUUUCUUGGACUUUUUAUUGGUUUGUGUUGAACCUUUAGCACCUGUAGAACUCAUAAUUUAGAGAAAAGUAGUUAGUCCAAUUAUUUGUGUUGGGCAAUUCAACCACCAAAAUUCAUUUAGGAAAAGGUUUGACCCUAUUUCCCUUUCAGUAUGGUCCAGAUUGUACAUGUGUCCCUAACUAGGUUGAGCAUAUAUAUGUGGCGACAUAAUGGUCAAAAGGCAUCUCUAUAACUAAGUGUAUGGUCGUAGGUGUACCCAUGAGCAAUAUAUAGUAUGUGUUCCUAUAACAGCUACCAACAAUGACAUACUCGAUGGCGUGGACACCAUUCCUACCAUUAUGACAUACCACACUCAUCGUUGUGGCACGUUGGAGAUGUGCUUCGCAUACGAUACAACAACUAUAAUAACAAGUUAGGAGUAGUUGGACCUCUGUAGGAUGGCAUCCAGAGAUAUAACUCUCUCUCUUAUGCUAUAAAAGGGAUGUAUAGAGAAACAAAGAGAGGGUAUUAGUUCGUGUUUAAAAGUUUUGACUUUAAUCUUUAGUUCAAGACUAGUUAGCACGUAAAAAGAGCUCUCGCUUGAGUCUAAGCUAUAGAUGGCCAAUAAGCACGAGGUCCGCGAGCCCAGCACGAAGCUCGCUGUUUGGGCCCGGUCCGAGCUCGACACAACCUGGUUCUAUGCGGGCCUGGGCUAGCCCGGCACGAAUAAGCGGGCCGGGCUCGGACAGGAAACUAGGCACGGUGGGCUGGCCCAGCACGACCUGUUUACCUCUAAGCCCGUUAAACCCGCUUUUUUAUACUAAAACGUGCUUACCGGUCCGCUUAGCCCGCUUUUAGCCCGCUUUUUUCGUGCUAAACGGGUUGACUCGGCCCGUUUAGGCCCGCUGCGGGCCGAGCUCGGACAGAAAAUCGAGCUCGUGGGCUUAAACGGCCCGGCCCGGUUUUCUAACCGUGCCUGACGGUCUGGGCCCAAAACGGACUGGGCUUCACCGGGCCCAGACCGGGUUGGGCGACCCGUUUGGCUAUCUCUAGUCUAAGCUUCCUUGCUCGACUCAGUGGUGGAUAUCAUAAGCGACAUAUAUGACUCUUCUAACUUUGCCACACUUGCAUCUAAGCAUCAAACAUAUAGAGAGCAUAAUAGGUUAUUGCACUAAGACGACAUGGAUCUCUAUAAAUCUUGCGCAUGCACAUAAUGUGUCCAUGUAAAUGUCUUGAUCCCGGGAUCCUAGGUCUACAUCACUCUCUGUGAAUUUUGAUACUCUUGGUAUCUUGAUAUGGCAACACGCCAACACAACCGACAACCUUUGUUACAAUGCGCCAUAUCAUAAAAAAGGAAACUAGUUUCCAAACCGUAUAGAGAGCAAAGUCUGAUGAUUUCAAAAAACGAGGUGACAAAAGGUUCGUUUUUUUUAUCAAGGGAGGCAAAUUAUACCUUGACAGAAGUUUUGGAGGUUAAAUGGAAUUUUUUUACUAAAUUUGUUUUGCAAGAUACCGAAAUUAUACUCGUACCUAAAUUAUACUCGUACCUUGCCGAAAAUUCUGGCUCUCUCAGAGACUGUCCUUAGAAACUGGCUGGAGUUUGUCUUCUUAAUACACCACUGGGCCUAAUGUCACCAUGGUGGGCUGGUGGCCCAUACGCUGGUACGUGGAUAGAUGCUUGAAUUACAUAUUGUUCCAUAGCGGAGAAAUAAGGACCCACGGAAGUGGAUAGUUACCUCGCGCGCAUUGUGUUGCAUAGUCAAAUCGCUCAGAGCAGUCUGGCGUUUGCAUGGGUAGUCAUCACGUACCUACCUUUGCGUUCGUCCAACUGGAUCCUUGUUCCUGGAGCAUGGCUAUGAGAAGUGGCUCCCUGAGCAACUAAUUCCAGGUACUCCCUCUGUUUCUUUUUAUUUAUGGCUGGAUAGUGCAAUUUUACACUAUCCAGCGACAAAUAAAAAUAAACGGAGGGAGUAUUUCGGGCCACCUUAAUUCCAGGCCAUACGCCUGCAAGUAGGCAGCUAGCUAGCACAGGCAGCCUUCCAAGUUCCAACUGGACGCGAAUCCGGAUCGCAUCGCGCGCCAGAUGCUGAACCGGGCCCGCCUAACAGAGACCGAGUAGUUCAAAAAGACCUGCAUUAUUUUCCCAAAAAGAGAUAUAGAGAGAGAGAGAAAAAAGAAAGUCGCGCAUUAUUUGAUGUGCGCAAGCUAACAAUGCAGUCACCAACACAGGAAAGAGAACUCGAUGCAAGUUGCUGUGCCGCAGCCAGUCUCCCCCGUCCAAUGGACGCGAAGAACACGCACAGGGGGGCCCCGGCCGUGGCUCAUGCACCACGCACCGAGGCUGCUGGUCGCUCCCCCAUCACAGCCAAAAAGAAAGGAGAAACGCGUGACCUCAUACUAGUCUCGCAUGUGUGGCACAGCACCCUGAUCGGCGGAUCGCGCCACGUAGUACGUGACCAUUUACCCCGGUCGCGGUCGGCCUGCCUUGCUUAGCGGCUAAGCUAAGCGCGCGGGGGCGUUCGUGCUGCACACGCACACACACAAGGAAAAAGGUCCCCCACCUCCCGCACCGCGCUGGGACUGGGACGGUGUCAGGUUAACAAGUCGCAGCUUGCCCGGCCCGGGCCGCGCGCGGCGGGUGGUGGGCUGAGAAUCUAGUGCGUGCUCGCGUCACCGCGCAAAGAAAAGCGCCGCAGCAUUAUUACGCAGGAAAGGCCAGGCCAGGCCGCGCCGCGCCGCCCACGAGUCCGCGACCGGCCCAAAGGUGCCUGCCGCUAGAUACAUCCAGUCCAAUCCAAUCCACCCCGCGCGAAGGGGGGUUGGUCUCCGUACGUCGUCACGAUCGACCAAGACGAACCAACCCGGGUGGCCCCUGCCCUGGUGCCCUCGUGGGCGUGGGCGUGGUUCCGCCCCCAUCGCGCGGAGGCGGGCAGCACGACGACGGGCGUGUGUAUCUCCGCGCGAUCGUGCUUUUCCCUGAAGCUGCCUUGCUUUUGUCGUCGAAAGCAACGCACGAUCCACUCGAGGGAGGCGAGCUCAUGGAUCAUGGAUGGAUGGGGUCAAAGCUAGCUCUCUCGGUCACAGCACAGGCGAAUGUCAGCGUCGCGUGGCGGGUGCGCGGCUCCAUCAGUAGUGGUGUCGGGGGCGGAGGCGAAGGCGGUCACGAGCACAUGCGCAUGUGUUACUGUUGUUAAUAGCUACUGUACGAGGAUCCGCUGAUUGCCGUGCGCCUGUGUUGACAGCGCGACUUGGAUGUACAUUAUAGGACUGCGUGUACACGUGAGCCAAUACAGAACUGUACCGCGAAUCUGCACCCGAUUUGAGUGUAUUAUUUAAAAUCGAAGCAGGUGUAUAAAGUAAUGUUUUCCUAACAAAAAAAUAUAAACUCAAUUCUAAGUAUACUUUUACAAUAUUCUAGUAGGAAAUACAGGUAUUAUAAGGACAAUACCUAAAACUUGAACUUUUGGCUCAUUUUUAACCUUUAUGCCUUUUGGCUAAGAUAGAUUGUAAUAUUUGUUUUUAUCACUUUUUUAAAUAUCCGUUAUACAAACUGCAUGUUUGUUUUGGUAUUAAAUUUAUUUUUUUAUGAUUAUCUUUUGUGGGGUGGUCUACUUCAAUGGUUUACUUGGCCCGUCGUUAACUGUUAGGCUAUCUCCAGCAAAUCCUAUAUUUUAAACUUCUCUCUACAAACAAUGUUAAACACCACUUGGCCACGCCCCAUGUCAUUUCGUUUUAUGAGACACUAAUAAACACUAUUAUUUUUAUAUAUUAUUCGUCAAUCCCACUUCGAUUACCUAAAAAUGAGGGAUAUUUUCUUGCUAGGAUUCUAGACAUGCAGAUAAUAUAGAAUCAAAAAAAUGAGUACAGGUAUGACAGGCAUAACAUCCACGAUUGGGUUGAAAAUGGCAUAAGCUUCGGGUAAUUUGGCGAAGAAAAAGCUAGUCAGACAAAGAACAGAAUUAAAACAAAUACAGGUUAAACUAAGUAUAUUAGGCAUAACAAGCAUUUCAUUCUUGUAGAGUAGAUAAUUGGAUUUUGAUUGAGUUAUUUUUAUAAGGGAAAAAGCAAAAGAAAAGGUAGAUUCCAAAUCCUUUUUUCUUCGGACUUUCCCAAACACAAAAUACCUCCUUGUAUUCGCAU
rnacentral:lncRNA from 1 species